rnacentral:lncRNA from 1 species
GGUGAUAAUAACCUUAUAGGGAGCCAGAUGUUUGAGCGAGAUGGUUUUGUCCAGUCUAGCUUUGAAGUUUGAAUUGUUGAAAAUUUUUUGUUGACGUUGAUCUUAGGCCUUGUUUAGUUUGGGAAAAAUUUUGGAUUUCGUCACUGUAGCACUUUCGUUUGUUUGUGGCAAAUAUUAUCCAAUCAUAGACUAACUUGGAUCAAAAGAUUCGUCUCGUGAUUUAUAGGUAAACUACGUAAUUAGUUUUUGUUUUUGUCUAUAUUUAAUGAUUCAUGCAUGUGCCGUAAAAUUCGAUGUGAUGGGAAAUCUUAAAAAAUUUUGGAAACUAAACAAGGCCUUAUUGUACCUUGUGAGCUUUUUAUACGGGUCACCAGUCUGUUCAAUCAUGGAUUCUGUGGUCCUUGAAAACGUCGCUUGGACUGCGGCAUCUGUUCAUAGUCAAUCAGCUUUUAGAUCCGUGGGCUUCAUUUUUCAAAAAAAUAAACAGUGAACUUUUUGCUUGUCCAUAAAAAACAGAACAAUUUGGGAUAUCAACCUCCUUCCCUGUGUAAUCCUGAAUCUUUACCUCCACCUAAUUUCGUUUAGGAAGAUGUCCAUAGAUAUUCUUAACGUCGUGUUUGGAUAAUUUACCUCAAUCCACAUGUGUUAGGGUGGAUUAUGGUGAAAUUUAGUUCAGGUUGUACUCUAAUUCACUCUAACACAUGUACACUCAUACGAAUCCGACUACAUCUAAAUAAGGACUAAGAAAAGUGAAGACGUAUAUAGAUCUGUCAUACGUGCAGGCAUGAUCCAUCCACGCGUGUGCCUAACCAGCGCUAGGAAAUCUAACGCCUGAGAUGGCUAAGGCAACUUUGCCUGGACAUCAAUCUAAACAGGUCCUAAUAGCAGUCUCAUGUGUGCUAGCAAUAGCACUGCGAGAUUUCAGGGCACAUAUGUCACGUGCGCGCUAAGAAAUCCAGAUUCGUCUGGCGGCUGAAAUUGAGCACGUUGGCUAAUGAGAGGAGCCUGGCUGAGACCCUGAGUGCAAGUGCCUGCUCAGUGCUCACCCCUACAGCAGCAGCAAAUGUGGAUGAUCGUGCGACGAACGUAUCGACCAUUUGAUGCCGAUGGAGAUGGACUAAAGAAGGUUGUGUGACAUGUACUCGGGACGACGCGUGAGAAGGAUUCUGCAAUCCUGAGUAGGCUUUGACUUCUAUAUCUGUAAUAAUAUUAAUUAGUACGUAUUCCUUCCGUCCCAAAAAGAAUGUCAUUUUAGAAUUUUAGAAAUCUUAUUUGAUCAUUCGUCUUUUUUUCCAUAAAUAUUAUAUAUUUUGUUAUGACUUAUUUUAUCAUUAAAGAUACUUUUCUAAUGAUUUAUUUAUUUUUUUUAAUUUAAAAAUUUGAAUAAAUGAACGGUCAAACAUUAUGUCUAAAAGUUAAAAACGUUGCUCUUUUGGGGACGGAGUGAGUACUAUAUAAAAGCUAGUCAGCUUUGUACUCAUUGCAUUGCGCUUUAUUCUUUUGAUUUGAUCGGAAUUUCUGACUCUUAUUUUCUUGCCCCUUAAUACCAGAGUAACUUUAUAAUUUAUAAAAAUAAAAUGCGUAAAGCUCGUUUUCUUUUUAUCAACUGCUAGCGGUAAUUUACACGACGGAUUUCAUUUCUUCAGUCCCAUAUGUUCAUAGAUAUCCAUGCAUGUGGCCAUGCAUGUACGGACACGAUCUGUUCAGCGUCCUUCUCUCCUUGGCAAAGAUUGUCAUAGAUCCAUGCAUCUACAAACAGGUCUCCUGAGGCUAUACGAGUCUUCCGGCCACGAAUUUCACGUGCUCGACACGGAUAAUGCAGGUUCGGAUGGUGGAAGAAACGAGCACGGAUAAAAGCGUUGGCUAUAAUCGAAUGGGACUGAAGAAAGUACCUGCUCGCGUACAGCAACACCAAACAUGCAUGGAUGAUGAUUCGAUGAAUGGUUCGCGGCCUCUCCGAUGAGGUGUGUGGAAUAAGACAGAGAAAUCGACUGGACAAGGCUCCGUGAGAUGUACCGCACGCGUAUGGCUGAUAAAUCCAACCACAGUACGUACAUGAGUACAUUGGUAGUACUAGUACCAUGCUAAAGUUGCCUUCAUCACACUUCACGGCACACGUCACAAAAGCUCACAGGAUGUAUACGUCAUGAACACGAGAGGCCUUGACAGGGAAAGAAAAAGCAUCAUAUCGCGCCUUUUAUGUCUUAUUUAAUUUUUUUAUGUCACAUCAGAUGUUUUAUGAGAUGUCGAAAAAAUAUUAAGAUACUAAUUAAAAAAACUAAUUAUGUAACUCAUCGGAAAACAGUAAGACGAACUUAUUAAGCCUAAUUAACCUGUUAUUAAUACAUGUGUGUUACUGUAGCAAUUAUGUCUAAUUAUAAACUAAUUAGACUUAAAAGAUCCGUCUCGCAGUUUCCAUACGAACUAUGCAAUUAGUUAUUUUUUAUUUAUAUUUAAUACUUCAUGCAUAUAUUUGAACAUUCGAUGGAUGUGAGUAAAAAGUUUUUGGGUGAGAACUAGGCCUUGUUUAUAGUUCAUGAAAAUUUUUUAGUUCAGCUGCUAUAGUACUUUCGUUUGUAUUUACGUAGCAAUUAUUAUUCAAGCAUGGACUAACUAGGUUCAAAAAAUUUGUCUCGUAAAUUACAUACAAACUAUGUAAUUAAUUAUUUUUUAUCUAUAUUUAUUUUUUAUGCGUUCAAAGAUUUGAUGUGACGAAAAAAUUUUAAAAAAAUUGGGAACUAAACAAGGCCUAAACAGGCUGAAAAUAGCUCAAAUGAACCGUUGGCUUCUUUCACUGAAGUGUGUACGAGUACGUGGAGGAGAGAGAGCCCAAAUGUUUGUAGCAGCGAAACAGCUGUAGCAUUGUGUCUGUUUGUCGUCCCACUGGCUGUUGGCCGCCAGCCGGUGCGCCUCCAAUCCAAUGCCCGUCCGUGUGUGCGCGUGUCAGUCACCGGCCAGGGCCAGACGGCCGCGGGUAUUGUUGGUGUGAGUUCACCGAAUAGGGACGAUUGCGACUGCGCACGCGGCGCUGUCGGGGCGAAUAGGGACGAUUGCGCCCCCGAUCGCUGUCACUGACUCCCUUCGGUUUCUGGAAGCCGGCCUGGCCUGGUCACUCAUGCCAUGCGCUGCGGCGUAGUACGUCCAUCCAUCCGCCUCCGACUUGCAUCGUUUCGUGACUGGAUGCAGUGCACCAAAAUGGCCACCCCUGAUGAACGCCUCACGUGUCCAACGUCUCCAACCGCAAAGUGGCACAUGUGGUAUAUUGUAUUGCACCUCCGGCUUCAAUUCCUGGGGACCUGCCGGACCGCGCGCGGUACUAUGGGUGCCGCAACGAGGCGUGCGUGCAUGCACCUUGCCAAGUUUCCAUGGUAUGGUAAGCGCGCAUCGGCCUUCGAUGACUCUUGGGGGAACUUAAUAUUAGCUAGAGACAAACAAAAUCACAGAAUCAGAUCAUGGCAUGGCACGCGAGACAAAAUUACACUACCUCAACAAUGCCAUACACGAGCCUCAAGCUCCAAAAUCAUGGCCAAGCUUGACAUGGGAUAGGUAAAUCUAGUUUGCCACAAUUAAUACUGUGAUCAUGACAUAACUGAGAACUUAGAACUUUCUUCAGACAAAAAAAGUUAUCAAGACACUACAAAGAUUGGUUUAAUUGCUGCUUGGCUAGUUUGUUGCCUAAAAACCGUUUCAAGCAUAACUACAAAGAUUGGUUUAAUUGCUUCAUACAUUACUCAUAGGUCUCAAGCAAACACACUUAUACACCCCUAGGGCUUAAAGCAAACCCACAAAACAAACCCGGGAAACUAAGACUCUUCAUAAAUAGGAUUUAGUUUUGGGGAAUUGAAAAUCAAAGACAAUUUGAAACAAGUCAUUUUAUUUUACAACUUGUGACAAGUACUAAUCUCUAAAACUAUUUUAUUAUUUUACAAAAUAAAACAUUAUGGAAAAAAAAACUUAGGUUAAAAUACUUUAUUUAAGUUAGUCCCAACCUCAACUAAAUCCUAGCUCACCACUAACCCACAACCACAACCCUCUUUAAGCACGCAUGGUAUGACUACAUAGUUGACAAAAUGAAGAUGUGCAUGCCUUCUCUCUAGUCAAUUUCUGUCACCAUCUACCUAACACAUGUGGUUUAGUCUUGGAAAAAUGUAUUUAUGUCAUCUACUCGAAGCACCUCCCUAUGAUAUAUCAAUUUUAAAAAAUGAGCCAUAUAUAUGAUUGAACCUAGUUUGUCACCUUCAUGCCCAUUGUGAGCUUUGAAUAUCAUAGUCGCCUCAGGCUUCUCCACCACAAUUAUGUCGACCAACACAUCUCCUUACCAUGGAUUAUUAUGAAGGCUAGGCCCAAACCUAGCCCCUAAAUCCAUGACCAUGGGGUGGCAUGGAGAACUGUGUCGCCUUCAUUGACCCGCACAUGCUUGUCCACUUUCAUUCUGGUUCUCCUUGAGAUCUAGUACCCUCCCUCGUCUUCUCCUAUCUUGGCUUGUCUUGGACUUGAAUUCGUACCACUGGACAUGCCUUUUCAGGCUGACAUGACUUGAAAAAUAGGUUGACAUGCCAUAUGCUUGGGUUGAGGAUGGAGCCCAUGGAUAGACACGGUGCGACUUGUAAGCACCACCAUGACCUGUUUGGCCCGAUGAAAUCGGGUCAUACUUUUUUGGGCUCAUACAAAGCCCUAACAGGCAACCCAUUUGAAUUUUUGGUUGGACGACUUUAGCAAGCCAGUGAUUGAGAAGUACCAAGGUUGAGAUGAAUGUUUUAUAAAAAGGGGGAAGGUUAGUGCAAACAAAUAAUUAGAUUUCAACAUCAUGGUAAAAAACUUCAUAGAAUUGUGAGAGUGCGCAACGGAAUCCGCCUAGCUCAUUAUACCCAUGAGCCGUAGCUCCUCGGGCCUAGGUCCGCCGAAGCCUGCAACAUACUCAAACAUUAGGCCUAACUCAACCCAAAAGACUAGCCCAACAGGUGAGGAUCACCCCCGGCCCUGCUUUAUAUAUUGUGCUCCCUCAUCAUCAAUUACCAAUGUGGAAUUAAAUCUAACAAUCUCCUCCAUCACACAUCGGAUUCAACUCUUCACAUCAUACAAUACCAUGUGAUCUCCAGAAGAUGUUUUUCAUGCCCCAAGUCCAACGCUCCAUAUCACACAUAAUCCUUGACCUCCGAGAGGUUAACGGGCUCCCCCUAUCAUCAUGUGAUCCUGAGAUUUUCCAUAUUUUCACACCAUGGGUUUCGAUAGCACUAUUAGAGUGCGCAACGGAAUUUGGCCCAGCUUGUUAUACCCACGAGUUGUCAGCACCUCAGGCCCAGGUCCACGGAGCCUACAACAUACUCAGGUAUUGGGCCUAACUCAACCCAAAAAACUAGUCUUAUAGGUGAGGAUUGUCCUCAUCUUAUAUGUUGAGUUCUCCAUCAUCAAUUACCGAUUUAAGACUAAACCUAACAGAGUUGAUGCUUAAAAAGGAUUGUGAAUGAGAAAGGUACACAACACUUUUCAUUUAGUGGUAGAUGAUUAUCUACAACGAUGCAUGUUUGGUGUGUUUGUAAGUCCGCUAUAGGUUCCUACUGCUGUCUCACGAGGACAGUCCCAACCAUUUUCCCCCCUGUCGAUAUCAAAAAGGAAACUAUACGCUAAUUAAAAGGACACACCCAUGCAUAUACAGUGGCGGAGCCAGGAAUUUUAGGGAGCCUGGGCGUGACACAACUCCAAACUAAUACUAAUACUAAGGUCACUUUUAAUGCAGAAACUACAUGCUUUCUAUAUUCAUUAAGUAGGAUAUCAACUAAGUAAAAAGAUGACAUGAUACUGUAAUUAAAAGAAAGAAUGAAAUGGUUUCCUAACAAGAAACCAUGCUACAAACUUUCCAUUAGAGAUAUACUCUCUCUCUCUCUCUCCAAAAAAAAAUUAAAAAGACACUAUGAGAUAGCAACAUUUGUACCACUAUAUAAAUUUAUUAUAAAAUAUAUUCCAUGAUUUAACUAAUAAUAUUAACUAUGCAUUAUAAAUAUUAAUAUUCUUGUAUAUAUAAUUGGUCAAAGUUAAAAAAUGAUUUCUCAGCAAGUAAAUAUAAUAUUAGAAUGGAGAGAGUAGUUUCUAUUUGUAGUGUCUACGUAAAUUAAUAGACAAUAUAGAAUUAUUUAUCGUUUUUAGUAUUGUUAGUGCCCUAACAAAGCUAUGUAAAGUAGAACACAUAAUAAAUACAUAAUAUACAAGAAAAAAGUUAGACAACCAAAAUAGUUUUAAAUUUUAAAGUAAAAUAAUACUAAGUCAUAGGCGGUGCCUGCUAGCUUUUUCCUCAUCUUUGUACAUAGCUUUUCUUUUUAAGUAAUAAGGACGGCAGCUAUUAUUACUAAGUCCCAUCAACAGAUCAACUAUUUGGUCUAAUGUGUUUAACUUGCAGCGCCAACAUAGGAGCCCGGCCACCUGCCCAGGGUGUCCGGGCCUUGGCUCCGCCAGCAUAUCAUCUCCUAGGUACAGAAAUAAUCUUGGUACGUACGGAUAUCACUGGAGAUGAGGACACAAUCUCUCGGAGCAAGCGAUGAUUCAAAGAUUACCCCAAGGCCUCUCGGAUCUGUGCUCAGAUCUGAGCGAGAGGAGACCGGACCUCUGCUAGGGUCUUGUUUAGUUCCAUUUUUCAGAUUUUCCGUCACAUCGAAUCUUUAGACACAUGCAUGAAGUAGUAAAUAGAGACAAAAAUAAAAACUAAUUGCACAGUUUGGUCGGAAUUGACGAGACAAAUCUUUUGAACCUAGUUAGUCCAUGAUUGGACAAUAUUUGUCAAAUACAAACGAAAAAACUACCGUGUCCAUUUUGCAAAAUAUUUUGGAACUAAACAAGGCCUAGCUACGUACCGCAGUCCGCAGCGUGAAGAUCCAGUCGCAAAUUAAAGGUUAACGAAUUGCAUCGAACCCCCUACAGCGCGUGCAAAAGCUGCGUGCGAAAGCAAGACACAAGCAUGCGUUUACCAUCAUCAGGUCAGCUGGUCAGUUUCAGGUCCGGUCCGCGCCCGAUCGUAUCAUCCCUCAUUGGCGCGCGGACGCCGAUCGAGGACGUGCACGAGUCGCCGUACGCGGUGGCGCUUGUGGCUUGGACUUCUCGUUCCCAGAACGGCGGCAGCGAUGAUGAUGCCUGCCUGGCCCCCCGGCCCCCCCGCCCGAGCGUGCCGCGCGCCGGCCAUGCCAUGCGGCCCCCAGCUCUCCCGGCUCUCGUUCGUUCGUUGCGGGCUUGCUGGCGUGUGUUAGAAAGUCAAAACAGAGCAGCAUGCACGUAGAGUGUACGUGGGGGCGACUGGGCGUCACCCGGCUGUGCUCAGCAAAGCAAUGAUGCCGCAUGCCAGCGGAACUGUACGUGGUCCAUGGGUCGAGCCAGCCCCCUCUGUGAACCGGGCAAGCUAGCGCGGUGGGCCGUUAACGCAAACCUUCUUAUAAUUCGCUUAGGCCUUGUUUACAUACGAAAAUUUUUUGGAUUUCGCUACUGUAGUAUUUUCAUUUGUUUGUGGUAAAUAUUGUCCAAUUACAGAAUAAUUAGGAUCAAAAGAUUUGUCUCGCGAUUUACCGGUAAACUGUGCAAUUAGUUUUUAUUUUCGUCUAUAUUUAAUGCUUCAUGCAUGUGCCGAAAGAUUCGACGUGAUGGUUUAAAAACUUUUUGGUUUUCAGGGUGAACUAAACAAGGCCUAGUACUUGAGCACGCUGCGACGCAACUAGAAUCUGGAACGACUACUAUGACGGCUUUGCUUCAAUCUGAACUGUAGUACGUAAUGGCGGGUUGGUCGAGUUUCGUCGAGACGAGAAACCUACUACACGGCAUGCUAUGAAACCGUUUAGAGUUCCUUUGGAUCAACCAUUCCACUAAUGGAUUCAUGAGAAUUGAGGGGGCGCCUGGAUGGACUAAGAGACGGUUCGAGGUUCGUUUCAAAGCAUUGUUUGGUCGAUUCGGUUUCCAUGCUGUCCGCGUGCUCUCUCUCUCUCUCUCUCUCUCUCUCUAGCUCCAGUUCAUGCCAUGCCGUUUGUACCUCGCCCAAAAAACUAGGCACGAUUACGAGGUUCGGGAGCAAUAGAUGGAUGAUGGCCAUGUACUACGUACAAAUAUGCUGCUAGCACGCACUCGGCACUCGGCAGUAGUCACCACGGCCCACGAAGUGAACAACCAACCAACUGCUGGCUUGAAUAGGAUCGAGUACUGACGCCGCACAGCUGCAUGCUGAGCGCCCCACCGGCCACAACGGCGGCGAUUCGAACAUCUACGUUCAAUUCCUCCUCCUUCCAUCGCCCUUUCCCUCUCUGCAACAAAUUGCAGCCAACAACAAGGGCCAGCAGCAUGAUUCACAUGCGGCAACGCGUCGCUCCAAAGACUCCUGUCCCGAUCCUUUCCCGGGUCCCGGUGCAGCGAACCCACGCCCCCCCCCCCCCCCCCCUUCCGUACGAACCCGCCUCGUUUUUUUAACGAGGCCUCGCUCGCGUUUCGUAUCACGCUCACAAAAAAUCGCAGAGCGCACUCGCGAGUAGCGCGGCGUGCACCAAGUCAUUCGCGACCAGCUCCCGUGAUCUGCCGUCCCGUCCUCACCUCCGCCUCCACAGUCCACACGUAUAAAAUGCGCGAGCUGCAGAACCCAACCAAAGAGUAAACAACCGUGUCACGCUCAUGCACGCGUUUUCUCGGUGAGCACACACCACACAGACACAGGAGCCGCCGCCGAGGCGGGCUAAACUGUCUGACCACACGGCACAGGCGUACGUAGCUAGCAGUGGGCGCGAAGCAAGGCAUUAGGCGACUUAUGGCGUGGUCGGAGACGGACGCCGCGCUGUUCGCGGCGGUGCUGGGGCGGGACGCGGCGCACCACCUGGCCACCACGCCGCCGCACCUGGGCGGGCCCGCGGCGUCGGCGUCGGCGUCGGCGCCCGAGCUCCAGGCGCGCCUGCAGGACCUCGUCGAGCGGGGCAGCGGGGCGUGGACGUACGGCAUCUUCUGGCAGGAGUCCCGCGCCGGCGGCCGCGCCGUGCUCGGCUGGGGCGACGGCCACUGCCGCGACGCCAGCGGCGGCGGCAGCGCCUCGGCCUCGCACGACGACGACGACGAUGCGGCGGAGCGGAGCGUGGCGCGGAAGCGCGCGCUGCUGCGGCUGCACGCGCUCUACGGCGGCGGGGACGGGGACGACGAGGGAGCCGACUACGCGCUCCGCCUCGACCGGGUCACCGCCGCCGAGAUGUACUUCCUCGCGUCCAUGUACUUCUCCUUCCCAGAGGGCGCGGGCGGGCCGGGCCACGCGCUCGCGUCCGGCCGCCACGCCUGGGCCACCGUGGACCCCCACCACCCGCGCGGACCGGGCGCCGGUGCCGCGCCCGCGUGGUACGUCCGGGCGUCGCUCGCCCAGUCCGCGGGGCUCCGCACCGUCGUCUUCCUCCCGUGCAAGGGCGGCGUCCUCGAGCUCGGCUCCGUCGUGCCCGUCCGCGAGACUCCCGAGACGGUGCGCGCAAUCCAGACCGCCCUCGCUGUUGCGCCGCCCCCGGCACGCGAGGAAUGCAUGAGAAUCUUCGGCAAGGACCUCUCCCCCAGCGGCCGAACCCCGCGCAGCGGCGACAAUUGGGCUCCACAGCAGCUCGGCGUCCAAGCCACGGCGUCCAAGGAAGCCGCCGCCGCGAGACCCAAGGCUCCGGAGCCGCCGCCCAGGAGCAUAGACUUCACCAAGCCGCCAGGAAAGCCCGAGCAGCAGGCCGGUGUCGGCGAGGAGCGGAGGCCGCGGAAGCGCGGGCGGAAACCCGCGAACGGGCGGGAGGAGCCACUGAACCACGUGGAGGCGGAGCGGCAGCGGCGGGAGAAGCUGAACCAGCGGUUCUACGCGCUGCGCGCCGUGGUCCCCAAGAUUUCCAAGAUGGACAAGGCGUCGUUGCUCAGCGACGCCAUCGCGUACAUCCAGGAGCUGGAGGACCGGCUCCGCGGCGGCGGCGGGUGCUCGGCGGCGCGCCCGGAGAGCCCCGCCGUGGAGGUGAAGGCAAUGCAGGACGAGGUGGUGCUGCGCGUGACGACGCCCCUGUACGCGCACCCGGUCUCCAGGGUGUUCCACGCCAUCAGGGACGCCCAGCUGAGCGUGGCGGCGUCGGACGUGAGCGUGGCGGACGACGCCGUGACGCACACGCUCGUGCUGCGGUCGGCCGGGCCCGAGCAGCUCACCGCGGAGACGGUGCUCGCGGCGAUGUCACGGGGGAUGACCAGCGCCACCCCCUCCCCGUGACUUUCUGUGUGUACUGUAGCGGUAGCCGUAAGUCGUAACCGCACUCGCCUCGUGCGUGCAACUGCCAGUCGUUAGUGCAAGUUGUUUUUUCCUUGUGACUGCAUGCCGGCCACGUAGUAAAGCCAUAGAAAAUGGAAUGGCCAGGAUUAAAUUUACUGCUCGUUUCCUAGCUAGUUUUACAUUUGGAUUGGAUUUAUCAGAUGAGAUUCGUACACGUAGUAGGCACAGUUUGACAGUCUGUUGUUCCUCUAGCUACUCCUACGUAAGGAUGAAAACGGAAAUGAAAAUUUCUGACCGAAUCGUAUCGUUUUCUAUAUUUGAUCUGAUCGUUUUCACUUUUCUCAGAAUAAUUCAAAAACGGUACGAAAUUCGGUAGACAAAUUCGAAAACGGUGCGGAAUUCGAAAUAGGCUUAUUCGACUGUUUUCUACUUUUCUUCAUUAUAUUCGAAAUUAUACGUAUUCAAAAUUCGAAAAUAACCGAAUUUGGCCCAUAAUCUGUAGUCCCCCUCCCCCACUACCACUGCCAGACUUUUCCUUUCCGGCCCAGCCCAGUAACACAAGUACACAACCCUAAAUCCCUAAUCCACUCGGCCACCCGCACCCUCCGGCCUCCACUCGACCACGACGCAAAGAGUGGCGGCGCCCCUAUUUAUGGAUGUUGUAGGAUUGUAGGAAAAAUUUGUAGAUGUUGGAUAGUUUUGUUUAUCUAAUUUAGCAAUGUUUCACUUGGGUGUUUGUAGGAUCAGGAAGUAAAAUGUCAUCUCAAAGUGUUUCACUUACUAGUUUGGUGACUAUGUACUUGUGUGUCAGUUAACUAUUAUGUGCACUUGAACUAAAUCAUGCACUUGUUAGUUUGGUCAUGCACUUGUUUAAAACUAUGCACCGUGAGUUGGUAUUUCGUAUUCAAUUUUCGUACAUCGACCGUUUUCAACAUAAUUCCGAUCGAAUUGGUUCGUUUUCGAAUACCGUAAUUUCGCUUUCGUUUUCGUUUCUGACUAUACCGUUUCGGUUUUCAUGUUCGUAUUUAAAUAUAAAUAUAGAAAACAAUAGAGAAGUUUUUCGACCGUUUCCGACCGUUUUCAUCCUUACUCCUACGUAUAGUUUCCUUCGUUCUUAGAAGACGCUCUGUGUGUCCAACCUCCUACUCCUAGUAGCUAACUGAUACUCCAUUUGUAGCUUGUCGUAACUCGUUUGUGGAGAUCAAAUCUACUCCAUUUGAUUUGGUGUGCAAGAAUGUACUAUGUGUCAAUGUGUGUGUGUCACUGUAUGAAUGUUCCUUGUCCACUCCUACCUUGGCCUUGUUUAGUUCUAAAAAAUUUUGUAAAAUACGAAUAGUAUCACUUUCGUUUGUAUUUGACAAAUAUUAUCCACUCAUGUACUAACUAGACUCAAAAGAUUCGUCUCUUCAAUUCCGACCAAACUGUGCAAUUAGUUUUUAUUUUCGUCUAUAUUUAAUACUUCAUAUAUACGUCUAAAGAUUUGAUGUGACGGAGAAUCUGAAAAAAUUUGUAAAAUUUUUUGAAAACUAAACAAGGCCUGUGGGAAUCAAAUCAACUGCGGAGUUUUUGGGCACAUCAGCUCACAUGUGCUGUUUACUUUGACGAACCGAGACCGAUUGUAUCACCGGCUGACCGGCAGCGCGUUUUCUGCAUUUCACGUCGCUAGCGCCAAGGCGCGCGCGGGCGCGGGGGGCACCGGUCCGAAUGUUUUCUUGUUCCUCUACGAAAACCCGCGCCGCGUCUCCGGCUCCCCGCGUGGUGGUCAAGCCUGGGCGUCGCGUGCGCGCACACUCGUCGUCGUCGAUUCGUCGAACGCGUCUCCUCCUCGAAACCGCGGCUGGCCCCCAAAGUCACCGAUGGCUCCCGCGCCGCUGGUCGGCAGGUGGUCGUUGUUCGCCGCGCGCGAGGACGAAGUCCAGAGCCCCGCGUCCGCGGCCCGCCCCCGGCCUCCGGCCCGAGCGGACGGGACGCGGGAGUGCGGGACGCUAGCGGCCGUGACCCACGCUUUGGCGGGACGUGUGGGCAGCGCAGCUUCCGAGCGAGACUUUCGUGUAAAAGCGACGCCGCGCGAAUGGACGCCGGACAGGCGCGCGACGCCCUGUCGGGGCUUGCUUGUACGGACGGCUGAUGGGGCUAAGGCGACAUGACGUGAGUGGCUGGAACUGGGGCCAGGGGCGGCGCCGGCGUCAGUCAGGGUGGGAUCCGCCGAUCAGGCAUUGUAUAGCCGGAUGAACGAAACGUAUAAGGCGCCGCCGUCCGGACACGAUGGACGAUCCAUCAGAUGCGACGUGCCAGCAGACAACCUUAAACGGGCAGCCUUUCAGAGGGGGAUGUUCCUGUUCGCGUGCGUGUCGUACUAGUACCUUUGAUGUGUCGAACCACUGUCGCGCCAUCGGAAAGACUGCGCUCCUCUCGGUGGAAUUCUCCGGUGGCCGACGCGUGUCUGGCUUUAACCGAACUCACCGGCGAGCGCAGCGGCCUUGUCACGGGGUCUCGACCGCCGCAGAAAUUGAAGGAAAAAAAAGGGAAACACAUCGGAUUUGCCUCGGGUCAGGGUACUUUGUGCGGUGGUUUCGUUGAUUAAGAACCAUCGGUUAUUGGCCCCAAACCACCAUCCUGCACUACUGAGGUUUCUAUGGUACUGGCUGUACCUAGUACUACCUACUGUUCAGUAUUCAUUCUCUCUCUGAGCCCCUGACCAAUUUGGAGAAGGAAAACCGGAAAACAGACGGCGCCCAAGGAGCGCGCGAGACAACCAACGUACGUCGCGUUGCACGUGCACUCUACUACUCUGCAAGUUGCAUGCCCACGGGCUAAACGAUUCGACAAUCGCAGCACGGCCGUGGCAACAUUCAUGGUCCUUGCAGUUGCAGGUCGUGACCGUGCGUCGCAGCAUGGUGCUGCGAACCACGGAACCAAGGCCCUGUGGUCUGGGUACACUGUACCGGAGGAAAAAGAAACGAGCCACCGCCAACAGUACAUAGCUUGGCCUUGGUACGCUGGUACACUAGAACGGGGCCCUCGUCGAUGAGGAUGGAAAUAUUCCGUCGGACACUGCUUUGUAUUUUUGUGACAGGUGGGUCAAAGUAGUAGCCUUUUUUCAGACAAAUUCCAAACUCUAGCAUUGUAAUUAUAUAUUUUGGGACGAUAGAUGUUUGAAAUUUUGAUUUAUUAGAAUCUGUAUCCAUUAAAACUUGUAUAUGAAUGUUUUAUUCAUACUAGUUUCUAAUAUAAACACUAAAUAGAGGUAUUUGAAGUUGUUUUCUAUUCGAUUUGAGAUCCCUAUUAGAAAAUAUCUAAUAUCAUCUGUAUCUGUGAAGAAUUUAAUACUCGAUGAAACUAUCUAAAAAUUGUUCAUGUGACUAAAUUUAUUUCAUAAUAUAUUACUAAUAUGUACCAUUGAAACUAUUUAAAUUCAAUGAGUAAUAAUACAGGGUAUAUAGAUAAAAAAGUGAUAUUAAUUUAAUUGCUAAUUAUGUUAAUUUCAGUUCAUAUGCCCGCGGUAGCUUUUUUAAUAGUUGAGCAUUCGGCUUUAAAAGGUUAAAACUAUCCAAAAGUUGUGUGUACAAGUAAUUAUUAGUAGCUCAUGUGUUAUCUUAAGUACUAAUGACACACACAUAAUUAAUAUGGUUAUUGGUUUAUAAUUUAUAUAGACAUUAUGGUUACUGAUCGAUUUACACUGAUAAUAACAUAAUAAUUUGUAUGGGUAACAAUGUACUCCCUUCAUCCUACAAUAGAAGGUAUUGAAAGAUUAAAACUUGUCCCAAAUAAGAUAUUCUAGCCGUGAAAUUAAUACACUUCAAAGCACCAAUUGCAUGCAUUCCUACCAUUAGUUUCACCACCAUGUUUAAAAUAUGGUAAGCAUAAGAUCUCUAUUACAAUUAAGAAAGGGUUACACGCGUUAUUUAUUUUAUCCUAUAGUUUUUUUGAGAACAUUUUUAUCUUAUAAUUUGUCCUAGCAUUCUUAAGAUACCUUGUAUUUCAUGAUGGAGAUUGGAGGGAGUAGUUCUAUUAUUUUGCAUCUCAAUAGAAUUUAAUAUAGACAACAAAGUUAAAUGGAUAUUGGAUCACUAUCUAAAUUAUUAGUUUCGUAUAAAUAUCCAAUGUAUUCAGAUCCAUGCAUACUCAUAUCUAAUAGUACGUACUCCCUCCAUUCCAAAUUUGUUUUAACGUACUUUUUUGGACACAAUAUAUAUGUGAGAAUCCAGAAGAACUAAAACAACUUAUUAUUUGAUGAAACGAAGGGCGUAAAAAAUAUAUGAUAAAUAAUGGCAUUCAUGCUCCUGUGUCCAUCCGUUUCCAUCUCUCCUCUCGUUCAUAGUACGCCGGAGUUACAUGGAUGGGUCCGUGAGUCCGUCCGAUUGCAUUCCAUGCAUGCAUGUGCGACCUACGAUGGCGCCACAGCAGGACGGGACACGUGAGGAGUUAGGCGGGUGGUCACUGCUCAGUCCUCCUCACUCUCUCGUUGUACGGCCGGGGGGGCCGAGAACUCGUGCACGUUAUCACUCUUGUUUGUUCUUUCUAGCUCUACUACAUACUCCUACAGUACAGUACGUCCUACUAUAGACUAUAUACAGGUUAAACGCACCGGUGCGCAGCGUACGUGCGCAUGUGGCCGGCGACAACGACGCUGGCUGGCCGCCUGUGGCCGGCAACAACGACGCUGGCCACCUGUGGUCUGUCCAGCUAACGCUAGAUGACAGACGACCUGCUUGCUCCGCUGUGUUGUCUAGUCCGGAUUUGCCUUGCAUGCAUGGUGGUGGCGUCAUCAUCUUGCUUGUGGAUGGACUCUGCACCUGCACGGGACUCUGCAGUCCAAAUUAAAGCUACACAUGUUGACUGUGGAUGAUCUUGCUUGUGCCCGCUGCACCUGCACGGAAUCUAGUCUAGAUCCUGGAAAGGAACAAAUGAAAAAAAAUAUCUGAAAAUUACUCCGUUUUCCGUCAAUUCCAGUUCCCCCAACGUCCAACGAGACGUUGUUUUCGGUGUACUUUGAUCACUCACGCAACCACCGUAUACACCCGUGAUAACUGAAGGAUAGUGAAGAGGAUGAACCAAGUGAUGCAUGCAUGGGAGAGAUCAUCAGGCCAGGCCAGGAACCAAAACACAUGCAUGAUUGCCUUGUGGUGGCCAAUAAUAUCAUAUCUACUCUUAGACAUAGGUGGCACAGCAAAAUGAGGUCGCUUCACCACCUAAAGAGAUAGCCAACGUGCACAUCGCAAAUUCGCUGUUUGCCAAUAAUCUGCGCGUCCCCUGUGCAACAGAGCAGACAUUCAGACGGCACUCUACUCUUGACAUGCAUGCAUGCAUGCAUGCAUGCAUCUCGAUAUAUUUGCCCUGGGCUUCUGCUUCUGCACCGAUACAUUUCUCCAUAUGCAAUGCGUGCGACUUUCCUCGAGAAACCCUUUAUUAUCCAUCUACGUCUGGGCACAUGGAAUUAAUGGAAUGGUAAAAUGUCUGCUGACGACAACCUAAUAGUUGACCACCAGUGGCACAACGCACUCAUCACUCAUCAGCUUCUAGAGCGUUGAAAUUUGUCGUACUCGUCCUGUUCAAUAGCAGGCUCCCAGCCGUAACUGAAGACUGAAGUGCAGGGAUCAGCAGGAAUACUUGCAAUCGCGAUGCAAAUAAUUAACGAGAGACGUCGUGGACUGCUGCCAGCUAAGGUUAGGAGCAACCACACCAUAUAUAUACUGUAGCAUUUUUUUUUUGAAGACACAAUACAUCUCCAAGUUACAUAUAAAAAACUAAAAAAAAAAGAUAUAAUAGUUUAUUUAGAUUCUUCCAUACACUUUUCCCUAGUAGCCGUUGUUGAUGCAUUUGAUGCCUAGACAAACGGAGCCCAAAUGAACAAAUUAAGAAGGCGGAGUAUAAUCCUCAGGUAAAGUUUAUUUUAUCCUUAAAGACAUGUGCCCUCACUCUCCCACGUAUUGGAUUCGCUCUCUCAUGUGAAACUACUUUGAGAUGUGUGUUUGCACACUUCUCAAAGCAAAUCCAAUGGACGGAAGAGUGAGAGCAUGUGCCCUUGAGGGAAAAAAAAACCACCCUUGACCCAUCAAGUUAGAUGCCUGAUUUUCUUAUUGGGAGUUCCUAUGAGCAGCAUUCCCCUUGCAGACAGUGACACCUGACUGCAAAUUGACCUUCUACCGAUGAAAUCGACCGUAGGAAAUUAGGAAUAUCGUUGGCAUCUUCAAAAGUCAUUACAAUUAACAAGGUUUCUGCCAAACAUCAGUGAUGCUGUUGCCGGUCUAUUUACUUUUCAUAAAAUACAUAAAUAAAGAAUCCAUGUAAUACACAAUUAGUGUAUGCAGAUUUCAAAUAAAAAACAAAAGGUUAAUAGUUUAAUCUCCAAAUUAAUUUAAAUAAAAACAAAUAAAUAGUCCACAUAAAUCAUAAUUAGUACAUACUUAAAUUCAAAUUUUAAACUAAAAAAUAUUUCGAUUUUCAUAUAUUGAGAAAGGCAUAUCAAUAAGAGGUCAAUGUAUUAUACUAAUUAAAAAAGAUAAUCUUUUCACUCUCAUUGCCUAAAAAGUACUACGCUUAUACUACAAGUCCAGGUUGUAAUGAUCUAGAUUUGUCAAAAGAUAUAUUAGAAAAUACAUAAAGUCUCCAAUAUGGAUGGAAUAGUAUAUUUAAAAAUAGUAGUGUUGAAUUUAGUUUAGCUACAACUGGAUUUACUAUGGCAUAAAAAAAGAAAACCACUGUAAACAUUUAUAUAAAGGGUACACAUAUGAGAGCUGUCCAACCAAAACACUAGGGGGUGUUUGGUUGGGAUUGAUAAAGUUUAACCGAUACUGUAAUAUUUUUGUCUUAUUUGAAAAGUAUUGUCCAAUCAUAGACUAAUUAGGCUUAAAAGAUUCGUCUCACAAAUUACUCUCUAGUUGUGUUUUUAGUUUCAUAAAUAGUCUAUAUUUAGUACUCCAUGCAUGUGUCCAAACAUUUAAUAUGACGGACGGUAAAGUUUAUUGGAGUAAACCAAACACCCCUUAAUGCCUCGGAAUACCCAUGAAAAAUCAUUGAUAUAUUUCUAAUCCCCAUGCCACCUCUCCCGUCAUACUUUUUGCCUUGUUAUCUCAACACAUCCUCUCGUCGUUCCUCCUGAGCUUGCUGAGAGGAUCUCGGUGAAGUUAUGUCAUAUCUAGAAUUUGUAGAAAAGACGCGUAAAUAUCACGUGGGUCUAGUAAAGUGGGAACUUGUUUUAAGUUUUCAAACCUUAUCAGGCCUUGUUUAUUUUUGAUUUUUUUUUGAUUUUCGGUACUGUAGCACUUUUGUUUUUAUUUGACAAUUAUUAUCCAAUAAUAGACUAACUAGGCUUAAAAGAUUCACUCAUGAUUUAUAGACAAACUGUGUAAUUAGUUUUUGUUUUCGUUUAUAUUUAAUGCUUUACGCAUUGAUGCAUAUGGCCACAAAAUUCAAUGUAACGAAGAAUCUUGAAAUUUUUUUGUUUUGGGGUGAUCUAAACAAGGCCUCAUAAUGCUUUUUGCUGCUUGCAGUUGCAGGCAGAUGUUUGUUAUUCUUUGACAUGACGGGCGGUGGUUUUAUAUUGUCAUGGUCAGCAACGUGCAGCUUGUGUGGCGACGUUAGGCACGGGCGUGCUACUAAUAAUAUACAGAUGGAAAGAUGCCGUCGUUGCGACUUGAGUCACGGACUCACGGUUCUCUUCUGUCCUUCUUGUCUCUUGCAGAAGAUUCUGUUGCUUCUGAAUUGACUCACAAUUGAGAGGUUCAUAAGCUUACGUAUUGCUGGUGUAAUUUUAUUUACCAGAUCGCGUGCAGGUAUGAGAGCAUUUUGUCAUUUUUUGUGAUUUUUUUAAUGAAAAACGAACCCCCAAAACCCGGCAUUUUCAGUACUUUACUGGCGUAGCUUGACAUCAAGAUUGCUGCUAGUUUUGGCUGAUGCGUAAACAAGCAAUUGAUGGAUGUUCCUUCGACAAUCUAUUGUGGCCAGGCAAUUCAAAUCAAGCCGAAGAAAUGGUCCCAUUAUCGUGAGUCCUAUAAGUUAUAGGUACAACAUCCCAAAUGUUUUGUACACCCUCUUUUGACGGGGAGUAAACUAGCAUAUCUUACCAAGAAUCUUGCAGAAUUUCACUUGAAAUAAUGAUGCUCCCGUAGAAAUCAUGAAGUUAUUCUACAUAUUCAUUCAGUCCCCCCCCCCCCCCCCCCCCCUUUUUUUUUUUGCGAAAGAGGAAGCUAAUAUUACAGGGAUUUCACGUGAAGCAAUAGUGCAAUGCAACGCCCUAAGGGCAAUUAGGGACCAAAGCACACUGUGCUUCAGUCCUUGGCUAGCGCAAGCUCACAUCUCGAUUCCCUGUGAUUCGUACGCAACUAAUUGAUGGAGUUUUGUUUGUUUCCUCUGAUAAGCUCUUGUGGUCAAGGAAGCAGUUCAAAUCAAAGGGUAAAGAUGAUUCCAGCCUAGAGAAUAGAGAGUAGAGACCCGCUAGACUGAUGCGUUUCGCCUGGAAGGCUGGAACCCAAGGGUCCGGGACAAGAGCUUCCAGCAGGCAGCGGCGAGCUUGUCCCUGGCAUAAUGGCAUUGGCAAAAUAUUUAGAUAGACAAAUGAUCAUAGUUGUUCGCACGUCUACUCACGCAUCUUGCUAAAUGCUAAUCGCCUUUUCGAAAAAAGAACAAGAUUGCUUAGAGCUAAAUAAACUUAUAGUACGACCCCUGAGAAAACUAGCUGGACACUGCCAUUGCUGACCCAAACAUGACAUGAAGCUCUUGUAGCGACGAGAGAGGCUACGUAUAAGAUAAUCGGUUGGAUAUUAAUUUCAAUCCACGAGAGGUUAUGUUAGCUACACCUGUGACUCAACGUGAUAGCGACAUGUAACACAUGCAACACGAACGGGAAGGCGGCUUUUCUGAAAGGUGUCUUGUGUUGCUGUCACUCUUGCCACACCAGAGAGCAAAACUUAAAUCCCAUGUGCUGACAUGGAAUGGAACACUUACCGAACUUGUUUGUAAUUCAGACAGCCCUGCUACAGCGACCUAUAUACAGUAGAUCACGGAUCAUGCACAGCUCUCUGCAUCGAACCCUUUUACAAAUUUUUGAUGUACUAUGGAGAGCCUGAACGCCUACGGGAGGCAAUUAGAGAUUGCAUGAUCAUAAUGUGGAAGGACAAAACCUCAGUAUUGUUCAUGCCAGCCUUUCCAAUAUCGGCAGCACACACAAAUAUAAUGGAAAAAACUGGAAAAAGAACUUCAUGAACUUGCGCACACAUUCCCGAUUAUCACAUAGCAUGGGAACUGCAGGCCACCAUAAUGGUGGAUUACUUGUUAGUAGCAAAUAUUCCAAACUGUUACAGAGUCGUCUACAUCCUACACAUGGCACAAGUGAAGCCUGUUUACAGAACUUGGAGCUCUUACAAGCCCACAUAGGGCCCUCGUUAAGGGUCACAAAUAGGCCUUUUGAUUUGCUACAGGCAAAAGAAGAGGGCUCCUAAAACAAGUUCUCAGUCUGAAUCUUCAAACUUUUUUAUGGCAUCCUCUAUUGCAGGUACAGCAUUGCAAAAUGCUUCCCACUGCUCCAUCGUCAUACUAAUACCUGCACCAGGAAAAAUGUUAGUAAAGAAGAGAAGAAAGGAGAUAAACAAUGACACAAAAAAACAAGUGCACCACAACAUAAAACAAAGAAAUGAAAGGUUACACCGCGCUUUGACAGAUUGAAAAGCUAAUUAUUGUAUUUGCAGUGUUUCUCUAUAAAUAAACCAUUUAUGAAACAUAGAUAACACUUAAAAAAGGACCUUAUGUCGAUAUCGCUAUUCAGUUCUAAAUUCUCUCCUACUUAAAACAUUUGUAGUGCUUCAGAUCACCCUUCGUUUGUCACCCACAUCAAUUGGCGCCGAAAGGUGGGCCCUUGAGUCCCUCCCUUGUCUGUGAAUCCCCUUCCUCGCUCUAUCGCUCCUGCCUUACCGCCUACACGUGCCUCCAGCCCUCCACGGCUCCACCCCUACCUCCUGCCGCACCCGCCUUUGUGACGGUCACGCCUGCUCACGCUGCCUACUGCACCUGACUCAGGGACGGCAGCACCCACCCACGCCUCCGCCCCGCAGCUGACUGUGCCCGCGACUCUAGCCCCAUGGGGUAUGCCGCCGCCUGCCACCCACCGCUCGAGAUCCCCAAACCUCUAGGCAUAGACACGGGCCAGGUUGGUGGAGAUGGUGAGGGGGAGUAGGGAGGAGAUGACACCGGGGUGGAGCAAGUGAUAAGGUGUCUGCGGAGGGGGACGACUGGCUGCCAUGGAGGUGGAGGUGGCCUUCUAUUGUCGCCAGUCCCCAAUCCCACCAGGACAUCCCGCAUGCUGUAUUUCUGCCUGGGUCAGUCGGUCGGACCUUGACAACUGUUUGCCCUGUCUCUUUGCCUUGCACCUUGCAUGGCAGCGGCGACCCUACAGCAGCGCCCUUGGACAGCGCCAAAUCCCUUCUAGAACACUUCCUUUAUCCACCUACUAUCUUUUGAUUUUGAGUAUAAGGAUGCUGGCUGGCAGUCACAUGAUUUGUAAAAUGUAUGCCUGUGUUUAUGGUGGUUUGAGGUACGUUGAGGAUAGGCACGAUGGCAACAGUAGUCUGUCACUGGGUGCAGGUGGUUGUGUAGCGUCAACAUUGGCGCUGGGUGGCUCCUGCUCCUUUUCUGUUGCAACAUGGCGUGCUCGUGGUCAAGUGCUCUGACAAUGCCCACUACCUCAAGGAGCUACGAUGCUCAACCAGCUACAGUUGGAGGUAGAAAUGCCUGCUACCUAAUGGAGUAGUGCCCUUUGGAAGCUGAGCUGAUGUGAACUGUGAAAUCGCUAGAAAUUCUGUCUACCAGUCAAAUGUUUUUUUCUCGAAAAAGUCUACCAGUAAAAUGCUCCUCACAUCAGGGUUGAAUUUGAACACAUUGUGUGCACCUCGGUAUUUAAUGGUGUAUCUUCAUAUGCUUAUAUAAGUUAGCUUGUAUAUGUUUACUAUCUUCUCCUUGCUCUAGACUGCAGCCUAGAAAGAAUAAAUGGAGUUGAUACAUUUCGGACAAGUAAAACUACCGAAAGAAAUUGAUAGGUGAAGACUACGAGAAUUGUGAUGGCGUGGCAGUGGUGGUGGCUGGUGUAAACAUGAUCCUGCUUUUUGACGAAUCUCUUAAUUGCAGAGGUAUAAAAUAUUAUGUUGCAUGCAUAAAACCUAUGUAUCAGGAUAAUUUUAGCUAAUAUUUAAUUAUCUUUUCUUGAAGUGCUCAGGCUACACAGCAUUCUAGAAGGCCUAUUAAAUCAAUUUGCAGCAGGAUGAAAGCUAAAGAAGGCCGGAUUAGAGGAAACUUAAUAUCCAAGAGUGUUGAUUUCUCAGCCAUACUGUAAUCACACCAGAUCCAAACAUAAAUAUGAUGAAUUGGGGUACCAUGGAGUAUUGCUUUGAACCUGACUUAUGCUAAAACUGUAACUCCAUAUAAUAUUGAGAGGUGGACCAGUUUGUUUUUGUUGACUUCUUAUUUAAUUACUCUGCUUUCGCUAAUCAUUUGUAGCUAAACCCAAUGAUUUCGGGUUGAAGGGACCUGUCGAAUAUGGGCUAAAUCUGUGUCCAGUUAAAUCUGAAUGUUACUACUCUACUGAAUCUGUGUCCAACCCUUCUUUUCAGCAGCAGGAAAGGCAGGCGCGAUCCGACUUCCCAUUUGUGCCACACUGUCCCGGAAGGUAAAUCUUUCAUCUACAUUUUGAAGAUAACAGGUGUACUCCUUGAUGGACAUUUUUCAAUAAAGACUAAAGACAAUACAUAAAUGGCAAAUAUAAGUAUCUCAAUUCUUCUAGACUUAGAUACUGUGUUUGUGGUUGGACAAAAAAAGGUAAACUGAAACUUCUUCUGUUCUGAGGUCUUGGAAUGAAGCAUCACACACACCAUGACCAAUAAUAUUGGAUUCUAAACUCACUUCAAAGGUGACUGGAAUGGGGAAGAGUCCAUGGAGGUGCUAUGCCAACCUUUCUUAUACUCCUUUUUUAAUAUUAUUGUUCUGAGAAAUUGUAUCAAUGGGAAUUCAGCUUCAGACUUAAUGAAGGCUGCAGCCAAUUUUGUUGGCAAAUUUAACCAAGUGCACUAGAUGUUUAGUCUGCUGGUUCAUUGGGUUUAUUUUCACGUUCUCUGUUAUUAGUGACCAGAUUGGCUCGGAGGUCUCGAUACCCUAUGGGAGCUCAGGAGCUGCGGUGAGUGGCAUCGGAGGGCAACUAACCGGCAAAACAAUGUAUACCCUUGUUUAGAAGGCUAAAGGGAUUGAUUGUUAGAGCAUGAUGGAUAAAAGUGAUUGAAUGUUAGAGCCACAGAUUAUCAGAGUGUGACUGAGUGUUUAUAAGGCUUAAGGGAUUGUUUGUUAGUCACCUUUGGCGGAGGGCAUCUCCUUGCCAUCCUUCACGUAAAACUCGCGGAUGGACACCAGUGACCUGCCUUUGAACUCCGACAGAGUCACCCUCCUCUUGUUCGACAGCUGUACGCACAAAUCUACAUCAGCCACAAAACCCUAGCAUAUAAUCGGCAUCGAUCGAACAAGCGCGAGAGAGGAGGUACGGGAGAAGGAACUCACGCGGCACAGGAUAAGGUCUCCUUGGUCGUCGUACUCCCUCUUCCCGCCGCCCUUACCUUCCUCCUCCUCAUCAUCUUCCUCCUCUUCCUCCUCCUCUUGUUCCUUGUCCUUGCUCUCCCUGCCAGCGCCGCCCUGCUCCUCCUCCGCCUCCGCCUCCUCCUGGGAGGAGAGUGAGCGCAGGUAUUCCUCAACGACGCCGCGGACGAAGAGCUUGCGGUCGGGGGUGGAGAGGUCGAUGCCGAGGCGGUCGGCGGCGGCUUUGCGUACCUUAUACUCCGUUACGGACUCCAUAUCGGAGCCCCGGAGGAUCUCCAGCACCGCAGCCUCCACCUUCUUCUUCGUUGCCUCGUCCAUGCCGACGCCGCCGCCCAACUGACGCCAACACUUCUGCUCCCUUCGCCGGAGUUGGGGAGAGAGUACUGGUCGCACUUCUGCUCUGUGCGACGCCAACGAGAGGUUUGGGGAAGGACGAGGGGAUUCGUGGGCCACGGGUGACAGUUGUUGGGUCCUACGGCUGUGAGUCUUGGGCCGGCCCAUCCAUUUUAGUUUGUUCGGCUUUUGUCUCGUCAAUUUGGGCCUUUGUUAGCCUGAACUCCACCCAACUUUUCUUCCCGAAUAAAAAGAUGCCUUUUUUUGUUUUGUUUUCAUCGGCUAAUAAAAGGCACCGGAAAAUGUCGUUGUCUUUUAUAAAUUUGCGCUUCCAUUUCCACCGGUAUCAUCAUCAUUUGCCAAGUUGGCAACCUUAAUGCCUUACGGGCUAAGUUUGUUGGAUUCUGUUACAUGUCCAUGUGAUGGAUUGGUGUUCUCGCUAGUUGGCAAGGCACCGUGCACAUUUAUAUUCACCAGCGUGUCGUUCUCUCCCCUGAUGACCUUAAUAGAGCAAUGCGACCAUCCUGAUUAGAGCAUGCCAAAUCGCAAAAAGAAAAGAAGAAGAAGAAGAUUAGGGCAUGCCAUGUUGCUGAAACACAAUCAAUGGCAACUUUUUAGACAAUAAAAAUUGCUUUGAAACGAAGUCAGUUUAGUUUCCGCAAGUUAUGAGAACAAAUUCCAGAUUAUAAAGAUAUCUAAAAAAAUACUCGUGCCCAUGUGUAACAUCCCAAAAAUUCACAUUCAAAAAUCACUCGCAUUAAAAAAUUAUUUUCAAAAUAUAUUUCAAAAACUAUAAAUCAUUUGAGCUCUAUAGUAUCUCCAUCUAAUUCUUUUUCCAUCCAUUCUAAUUAUCCAUCUUUAAAUAUAACCUGCACCGCAUGGCAUGAGCAUCAUAUGUCCGCUACUUAUCCCUCUUGCUCGCUCGCUCUGCCCGAUACCCGGCAACGGCGCGUGCGCCGACCCCACCACCAUCAGCGCCGCAGCGCACUCACGUCCGGCCCCCUCGCCGAGCGCACUCGCUCGCGCGCGCACCGCGGCAUGCGGGCCCCACCUCUUGCCUUUUCCCGCGCCUCUUUUGCUGUACAAAAAGAUAGCAAGUACCAGCAAGCUUACAUGCGAGAAAACAUAGCAGUGCACCUACACGAAUAUAUAUCUCAUACAUGCAUGCAUGCAGGACAAGCAUGUCACCGUCCAUUUGCAUGCACCUGCAUGCAAAGGACAUGGUGAUUAGGCACCGUCCAUUUGCAUGCAACGUGCAUGCAAAUGAGACAUUGCCAUUUGCAUGAAAAUUAGGCACCGUCCACCGUCCUGUCGUCCUGUGUAGCCAUGCACUACAGUAGCAAUUCUAAUGGCACGAAGCUGAGCACCAGAGGCAUAACCUCACUCCUUCGGCCUAUAAAAAGCCAGCCUCGGGUGCUCACUCUCACCACCCGAGAAACACGUUCACUCACUCGCUCUCACUUCGCGUAUACCGUAUACGGCCAUACGCACAAGCCGAGCUCGACUGUCGUCGCAAGACGAGGUGAGCAGCUCAUGAGCAUCUCCUUGCUCUUCUCUGUCUUUCUGUAGUAUUUUUCUGUAUUUUUCCAUGUAUUUGUUUGUACCGGUUCACUGCCAAGAACUCCACGAAUAGAACCAUGACAUACAGAAGAGUUCUAAUGACCCCUGCUAAUUUCUCUCUAACCAUGCAUGUGUGGGCCAAGCAUUAACUCCAAAUAGUACAUGCAUGCAUGCAACAUGCACUACCAGCCAAACAAAUGCCCACGUGAAGCAUCCAUUCCUUAAUCAUCGUUAGCCUUUUUCGCAUGAUUAAAUUCCGGCCAUUUCACAAAUGCCAUAUGCUAACUCUGAUUUUAAUAACUCUUUUUUCUAAAUUCAUCUAAAAUCAUGAUCUACCUCCCAUAUUAAUUUCAUGAUUUUUGGAGCUCAUUUGAAUUUAUAUGAUUAUUUAUCUGUGCCUGUUGUCUGUAUCGUUCGUCGCGUAUUUUAGUUGACGGAGUGAACGAGCCAGAGAACGAGAACGUUGGAGACGAGUACCGCGAGUUUGACGCCGAGGACCCGGACUGUCAGCAGGAGUUUGCCGAGGACGCCGACGGAGGCAAGUCCAACCGAUCCCCUUUGAUGCAUAUUGAUCCUAUUUUUAAACACAACCCGUAGAAGCCGUUUUAAAUAUUGCAUGUACGAUAUAUGUACGAAGUAUUUUCGCUGCUUAGUUAAAACCUGUUGAAUAGCCAUCCUUGAAUUGAUAUUACCCGAUAAUUGUCUUGUUCGAACCUAGGAACAAAUAAUAUGCUAUGACAGAAAUAUUAUUAUUUAGUAUGCUUAGGACUUAUUACUCAUCCUGGAUACUCAUCGCUAUAUUUUAUCAAAUAUAAUGAUUUUAAAAGUAAAAGGUGUGAGUGGUGAAAAUAAAUUGUGGGUAUUGUGAAAGGGUUAAUGAACAAGUUAUAGAUGUGAUUACUAUGGAGAUGGGGCGGAUGGGAUCUCUUUUGGGGAUGCCCUGGUGUUGUGGCUUAUACCUUGCGGGGUUAAGCGUGAAGAUAUCCGCCUUGUCUCGAUUAAGGACUGAGUUGAUGAUUCAUCUUGCCUAACUCAUUUAUCGUACAACCACUCGCCUUGCAUGGGAAAGGCUUAGUCUAAAUCCCUCUAGUUAGUAUGGCAAUCACCUGGAGGCAGGUGUGCAACGGGACACUAAGUGAUGUAUGUGAAAUUGUGGAAAUAUAUGAAAAGAGCUUUGUGAAUUAUUGUGGUAUCAUGAGAUGUGGCCUUAGUGUUCCCGUGGUGAGCGCCAUUACUUAGCUAUGGAGGGUAAUGACUUUGAUGGAUCUGUGCUUGCACGACGGUGUAAGUUAUGGUAUCCUACUUGUGGGAAAAGUGUACAACCUCUGCAGAGUGUAAAUCUAUCUGGAUAGCCGUGUCCGCGGUCUCGGACGGGUUAUGGUUUGGUUUCAACAACUAGAUGAGUUGGGAUGAGUGAAAACAUGUGAGAGAGUGUGAUUUUGGAAAUAAAUGGUUGACUGCCAUGGUGUUGUGGGAACAAGGGUUCAACAACACUUAAAAUUGUGAUUAAACCCCCAUUUUUAGAAAUACUAUCAUAUGUGGAAAAGGAGCUCUUUUACAAAAGUAUUUGUGAAAUGAAACCUUGCAUGUGUAAAAAGAUAGCUUUAUGCAAAUAAAACUAAGCCUCAUCCUUGAUUUAACCAUAUGCAUAUAUACUGUUAUCCCCUUCCGUAGGGUAAAGUUGGAUUUGCUGAGUACUUUGUACUCACCCUUGCUUUAUUAAACAGAGGAAGAUCCGGACUUCGAUCCCGAAGUGGCGUUCGAGUAAGGUCGUGUCUGCACCCAACUAAGCCUGUGGCAUUGGGACUCGUCAGAUGUUCGAUGGCGAUAUCGUUUGUUUCUGGGUCCUUUGGACCUGUGUUGUAUUUUGGUGUCUUAUUAUUAUAGCGUGCCUUCCUUGUCCACGCUUGUCAAGACUACUGCGCUGAAACUUAUCUGAUGUAAUAAAUAUGUUACUAGCCUCCUAGGACUAGUAUUGUAUCACAUUUGAGUUACUGGUUUACCAGGGGCGCUUCAGGUGGUAUCAGAGCCGUAGUUGGCUGUAGGACGCGACCUUAGGCUUUUCUGGACCAGUAUUUUACUAAAUAAACAUAUUUUACAAAAGUUCUUACCCUCUUCCCUCUAUUUGAAAAAAAAUAUUUACUCUCAUCUAUGUCUCUCAGAUGGCCGAAGGAGUUUGGACCAGCAGUUACUGUCUAAGUGUAGAAGGCUUUUCCAAGCUCUUGUAUGCUACCAUGCAGAAACUUGGAAUCAAGGAUCGCCCAGAAUAUGAAGGUAGAGAAUAUGAAGAGCAUGAGACCGAGCGGUGUGAAGUUACCAUCUAUAUUGGGAAAAGUGAGGACUUCCCUAACAUAGCUGAAGCUUGGAGUAUGACUGCGAUCGGAUUUCGGUUUGCAGAUACAUAUCAAGCCGUCGCCCGCAAAGCCUUGAGGUACCUAUGCCAGAUCUACGAGAAGCCCAUCACCCGUACACCUAUGAGGUUCUUUCCACCCGACGAAAAAGACCGACCAGUUUGGAGGACCCGCAUGGAGCUCUUGCAAGGACGUUACUCACUUGAAGAUGACCCAACUGUGGUAUUCAUGACCACAUACCUACUUGCUCUAGAUAAGCAAUACGAUGAGUAGGCCUCAGAGUUAAGGAAGUGCAUCCAUCGUGCGGAGGAAGCCGAGAUCAUAGUUAGAAAGCUCCAUGUGCAGCUUGCGGAAGCUCAGGCCCAAGCAGCUGCAGCCGAGAGUCGUGAAACUGCCAUUGCUGAUGUCUUGAAGGCAGCUGAAGACCGCCAUGCUCAGGAGUUGAAGGAUGCCUACCUUAUCACUAGGAUCAAAAGAAGGAUGUUAGCAGAGGAAGACCAAGAGCCCAUAGUCCUAAAAGGUAUCCCAAUCAUGUCCCUAAAAACCAAAAGCAAGAUGGACAUAGAAGGGCCAUCAGCUCCCCCACCCACAGAAGCCUCUCAUGAAGCUUUAGAGUUGGAGCCCAGUAAGGAAGAAGGAUUUCCCCUCCUCACCCAGCCACCCCCAAAGGAAGACGGUGACCCACCUCUUAGUCCAAAAGAAGAACCACAAAUGCCGGAAGCAUGAUCCUCCUCAACACCAAGGGAAUGAAGCCGUUCUGUCCGAAGAAGUUGAAGAAUAGUAACACCUAGUUCCUCCUUAUGUCUUGGGGAAGUGAAGUUUACUUCACUUUUGUUCAACCCCCAAAGUAGAUGAACCGUAUUGUAGUACGCUUAUUUCCUCCAUUACUAUGUUGUAAACCGCCCUCUUAUUCAAAAUAUAUAUUUGUGCUUGUUGGUUGUGCUAAAUAAUUGAGUGCUCUAUGUUGUUCCCUUACGGGAUAGCAAGUCUUAAGACUUGCACCUUUUUAAAAUAUAACGCCUUAACAAAAAAAACAACAUCACUCAAUAGAUCUAACCCUUAUCUAAUGCUUUCUCAUCUUAACCAACAGAUGCCUCCCAAACCAGCUACCCGCUCUCAACCAAGUGGUCGUGCAGCUAGUAGACAAAGCCAAAAUCCAAAUGGAAGUCAAGCCAAUGCAAAUGUGGAUGGUAUUCAUGAAGAUGAAGUGAGUCAGACUAGGAACCAUAAUGAAGGAGAUGACUUGCCCCCUCCUCCAGUAAUUGACUUGGCACAAGUCAUGGCAACUCAGACUCGCCUUCUGCAGACCUUGGCUCAAGGCAUGAACCGCCCUAGGAACAACCGUGGAGCCGGAGUCCAAGACAAGAUGACUGAGUUCAUGAGGCUUAAGCCACCCACCUUUACUGGAUCUGACAACCCCAUGGAAGCAGAUGAUUGGCUUAAGGUGAUUGAAAGAAAGUUGGACACAAUCCACUGUGAUGGAAGGGAUAGAGUUCUGCUAGCAUCUCAUCAGCUGACAGGAAUUGCCCUUUCUUGGUGGGAAGCCUAUAGUGGAGCUGUGGACAAUGCCAACACGAUCACAUGGGAAGAAUUUGUGGAUGAAUUCCGCCGGUACCACAUUCCAGAUGGAAUCAUGAAGCUAAAGGCUGAUGAAUUUCGCAACUUGAAGCAAGGAAAUAAAACCCUGAGUGAAUACAUCUUCCAAUUCACUGAGUUGUCUCGCUAUGCCCCAGAAUUGGUCAACACUGAUGCUAAGAAGCAGACAAAGUUCAUAGAAGGAUUGACCUGUGAGCUUAGAACCCUCAUGACCCCAUAGAUCUAUCCAGACUUCAACACCUUGAUGAACAGGACCAUUCUGACUGAUGUGGCCAAGACUGAAGAAAGGAAAGAGAACAAGCGCAAGUUUCUAGAGCGCAAGGUUCAAGAUGGUGCUAGAUCCCAGAGGCUGAAAACCUUUAGCCAACCAAGCCAGCGGACUCAAGCCCCAAUGCAGUUUCGCUCUCCUGCUAGUGUCUCCAAUAACCAAAUGCAGUCAUCAUAUCAGCCCAAGACAACCUAUCAGAAUCAAACUUAUGGCAAGACUCAACAGAACAGCAUUGGUCAAGUCACAAACAAUGUUAGGACUUGCUUUAAUUGCCAUGAGACUGGACACUACAUCGCCAACUGUCCCUACAAGAACAACCCACCAGCAGUAUCCACUCAGUCCCACACUGUUAAUGGACCAAGACCUGCAGUGUCUGGAGUCAACCGUGGUUUCCCUCGCAACAAUAGCAACACCAACAAUAAUAGCCAGAUGAUGAAGCAACCUCAACAAUCCUAUGGUAGAGCCCGUGUCAACCAUAUUCAUGCUCAGGAUGCUCAGACUGCUUCAGGAGUGGUACUUGGUGAGUUCUUAGUCGAUUCAGUACUUGCAACAGUAUUAUUUGAUUCUGGAGCAUCACAUUCAUUCAUAUCAUCAAGUUUUGUUGAGAAGCAUCAAAUACCCACAGUACUACUAAAGAUACCCCUAAUAACCCGAACACCUGGGUCUGACAUCAAAUGUCAUCUAGGUUGUUCAAAUGUAAGGAUCAUUCUAAGUGGGGUAGUUUUCUUAGCAGACUUAGUAGUGCUCAAGUCUAAAGGAAUAGAUGUUAUCCUUGGAAUGGAUUGGUUAACCAGACAUAAUGGAAUUAUUAGUUGUGCAACCAAGGAAGUAUCAUUAGUUGACCAUGAAGGGAUUAAAGUGAAAUGCCAAACCCGAGGGUCUAAAGUUAAUCCAAUGGUCUUCAACUUGGAUGCAAGGACCAUAGAGGAAGUACCAAUAGUGCAAGAAUACCCUGAUGUAUUCCCUGAGGAACUAUCUGGAAUGCCACCAGACAGGGAUAUAGAGUUCAUCAUUGAUCUUAUCCCCGGGACUGCCCCCAUAGCCAAGAGACCUUACAGAAUGGCUCCGGCAGAGUUAGCUGAACUGAAAGAGCAGCUAAGAGACUUGCAGCAGAAAGGUUAUAUUAGACCUAGUUCUUCACCAUGGGGAGCCCAGUCUUGUUUGUAAAGAAGAUAGAUGGAAGUAUGAGGAUGUGUGUGGAUUAUAGGUCCCUAAAUGAAGUCACCAUCAAGAAUAAGUAUCCCCUGCCAAGGAUAGAUGACCUUUUUGAUCAGCUUAAAGGAGCCAAGUAUUUCUCUAAGAUUGAUUUGAGAUCGGGUUAUCACCAGCUCAAGAUCAAGAAUAGUGAUGUUCCCAAGACAUCUUUUGUAACCAGAUAUGGACAAUAUGAGUUUACAGUGAUGUCCUUUGGAUUAACCAAUGCCCCUGCCUAUUUCAUGAACCUCAUGAAUAAGGUAUUCAUGGAAGAGUUAGAUAAGUUUGUUGUAGUCUUCAUUGAUGACAUACUUAUCUACUCUAAGAGUGCUGAAGAACAUGGGCAACACUUGAGAGUAGUGUUGGAAAAGCUAAGAAGACAUAAGUUGUAUGCUAAAUUCAGCAAGUGUGAAUUUUGGCUUGAGAAGGUUGCAUUUCUAGGCCAUAUCUUGACAGCUGAAGGAGUUGCAGUUGACCCUGAGAAAGUAGAAGCUGUCUCCCAUUGGCAGCAACCCACCAAUGUGAGUGAGGUUUGAAGUUUUCUUGGAUUAUCUGGAUAUUAUCGAAGGCUUAUAGAAGGAUUUUCCAAGAUAGCCAGACCCAUGACAGAGCUUCUUAGGAAGGAUAAGAAAUUCACUUGGACAGAAUCAUGUGAGAAGAGUUUCCAAGAGUUGAAGAAGAGACUAACAACAGCACCAGUGUUAACCUUGCCAGACAUUCACCAAGAUUUCAUCAUAUACUGUGAUGCCUCAAGACAAGGUUUAGGAUGUGUUCUCAUGCAAGGAGGAAAAGUGGUUGCUUAUGCAUCUCGUCAGCUUAGACCUCAUGAGCAAAAUUACCCUACCCAUGAUUUGGAGUUAGCAGCUAUAGUACAUGCUCUCAAGAUUUGGAGACACUACCUCAUUGGAAACAAGUGUGAAAUCUACACUGAUCACAAGAGUUUGAAGUACAUCUUCACACAGCCAGACUUGAACCUAAGGCAAAGAAGAUGGUUAGAAUUAAUCAAGGACUAUAACCUUGAGAUUCAUUACCACCCAGGAAAGGCCAACGUGGUAGCAGAUGCCCUAAGCAGAAGGUCAUAUGGUCAGCAGUUGGUGCCUAAGAACACUCACCUACAAGAAGAGAUAGCACGGUUGAACAUGCAUAUAGUACGCCAACCUCAAAAUGGCAGUCUGAUGGUGCAGCCAACUCUUGUGGAAGAAAUCAAGCAGACACAACAUAAGGAUAAGGAUCUAAUGAAGAUUCGUGAGCAAACUGGAGAAAAUAAAGCUCCAUACUUUAGAGUGGAUAACAAAGGAGUAUUGUGGUAUAAAAACAGGAUUUGUGUGCCCAAGGAGGGAAAGUUUCAAGAAUUAAUCCUUGAUGAAGCCCAUAACUCAGCUUAUUCUAUCCACCCUGGUGCCACCAAGAUGUAUAUGGACUUAAAAGAAAGAUAUUGGUGGAAUGACAUGAAAGCUGAUGUGGCACGAUUUGUUGCACAAUGUGAUGUAUGCCAAAGGGUUAAAGCAGAGCAUCAGAAACCAGCAGGCUUGCUCCAGCCAUUGCCUAUUCCUGUUUGGAAAUGGGAUGAGAUAGGCAUGGAUUUUGUGAAUGGAUUACCCAAAACUCUGAAAGGAAAUGAUUCAAUAUGGGUAAUAGUGGACCGCCUUACCAAGGUUGCUCACUUCAUACCUGUGCGCACCAAGUAUAGUGGAGACAAAUUGGCCCAGUUAUAUGUGGAUAACAUAGUCAAAUUGCAUGGUGUGCCAAGUAGGAUUGUAUCUGACCGAGGUACCCAAUUUACCUCUAAGUUCUGGAAAAGUUUGCAUGAAGCUAUGGGAACCAAUCUAGAUUUUAGCUCAGCUUAUCAUCCUCAAACAGAUGGCCAGACUGAAAGAGUAAAUCAGAUUAUGGAAGAUAUGCUAAGAGCAUGUGUGCUCACAUAUGGUAAAGAUUGGGAGAAAAGCCUAACUUAUGCAGAGUUCUCCUAUAAUAACAGUUACCAAGCUAGUUUGGGCAUGUCACCUUUUGAGGCUCUGUAUGGAAGAAAAUGUAGAACCCCAUUGAUGUGGUCAGAAGUUGGAGAACGAACCUUGAGAAGCAGAAGAUCGUGUAGCUGAAAUCAGAGAAAAAUUGAAAGAGGCACAAUCACGUCAAAAGAGUUAUUCUGAUAAAAGAAGGAGAGAGUUAAGUUUUGCAGUUGGAGAUUUUGUGUAUGUCAAAGUCUCUCCUAUUCGAGGAACUCGAAGGUUCCAAGUUAGAGGCAAGCUAGCACCACGGUAUAUUGGACCAUAUCAAGUAUUACAGAGGAUUGGAGCUGUAGCCUAUCGUGUUCGGCUACCUGAAGAAAUGUCAGAUAUACACAAUGUGUUUCAUGUCUCCCAAUUGAAGAAAUGUCUCAGAGUACCAGAGGAACAAAUAUCGCCAGAUACAAUUAAUUUACAAGAUGACCUAAGAUAUCAAGAAGUGCCAAUAAAAAUCCUAGAUACAGUCACCAAGCAAACUCAAACGAUAACAGUCCGAAUUUGUCGUGUUCAAUGGAGUAGACACACUGAAGCGGAAGCAACAUGGGAAAGAGAAGAUGCCCUGAGAAAAUAGUUUCCCCAUCUAUUUAGGACCCAGCCGAAUCUCGAGGACGAGAUUCCUUUUAAGUGGGGUAGGUUUGUAACAUCCCAAAAAUUCACAUUCAAAAAUCACUCGCAUUAAAAAAUUAUUUUCAAAAUAUAUUUCAAAAACUAUAAAUCAUUUGAGCUCUAUAGUAUCUCCAUCUAAUUCUUUUUCCAUCCAUUCUAAUUAUCCAUCUUUAAAUAUAACCUGCACCGCAUGGCAUGAGCAUCAUAUGUCCGCUACUUAUCCCUCUUGCUCGCUCGCUCUGCCCGAUACCCGGCAACGGCGCGUGCGCCGACCCCACCACCAUCAGCGCCGCAGCGCACUCACGCCCGGCCCCCUCGCCGAGCGCACUCGCUCGCGCGCGCACCGCGGCAUGCGGGCCCCACCUCUUGCCUUUUCCCGCGCCUCUUUUGCUGUACAAAAAGAUAGCAAGUACCAGCAAGCUUACAUGCGAGAAAACAUAGCAGUGCACCUACACGAAUAUAUAUCUCAUACAUGCAUGCAUGCAGGACAAGCAUGCCACCGUCCAUUUGCAUGCACCUGCAUGCAAAGGACAUGGUGAUUAGGCACCGUCCAUUUGCAUGCAACGUGCAUGCAAAUGAGACAUUGCCAUUUGCAUGAAAAUUAGGCACCGUCCAUCGUCUUGUCGUCCUGUGUAGCCAUGCACUACAGUAGCAAUUCUAAUGGCACGAAGCUGAGCACCAGAGGCAUAACCUCACUCCUUCGGCCUAUAAAAAGCCAGCCUCGGGUGCUCACUCUCACCACCCGAGAAACACGUUCACUCACUCGCUCUCACUUCGCGUAUACCGUAUACGGCCAUACGCACAAGCCGAGCUCGACUGUCGUCGCAAGACGAGGUGAGCAGCUCAUGAGCAUCUCCUUGCUCUUCUCUGUCUUUCUGUAGUAUUUUUCUGUAUUUUUCCAUGUAUUUGUUUGUACCGGUUCACUGCCAAGAACUCCACGAAUAGAACCAUGACAUACAGAAGAGUUCUAAUGACCCCUGCUAAUUUCUCUCUAACCAUGCAUGUGUGGGCCAAGCAUUAACUCCAAAUAGUACAUGCAUGCAUGCAACAUGCACUACCAGCCAAACAAAUGCCCACGUGAAGCAUCCAUUCCUUAAUCAUCGUUAGCCUUUUUCGCAUGAUUAAAUUCCGGCCAUUUCACAAAUGCCACAUGCUAACUCUGAUUUUAAUAACUCUUUUUCCUAAAUUCAUCUAAAAUCAUGAUCUACCUCCCAUAUUAAUUUCAUGAUUUUUGGAGCUCAUUUGAAUUUAUAUGAUUAUUUAUCUGUGCCUGUUGUCUGUAUCGUUCGUCGCGUAUUUUAGUUGACGGAGUGAACGAGCCAGAGAACGAGAACGUUGGAGACGAGUACCGCGAGUUUGACGCCGAGGACCCGGACUGUCAGCAGGAGUUUGCCGAGGACGCCGACGGAGGCAAGUCCAACCGAUCCCCUUUGAUGCAUAUUGAUCCUAUUUUUAAACACAACCCGUAGAAGCCGUUUUAAAUAUUGCAUGUACGAUAUAUGUACGAAGUAUUUUCGCUGCUUAGUUAAAACCUGUUGAAUAGCCAUCCUUGAAUUGAUAUUACCCGAUAAUUGUCUUGUUCGAACCUAGGAACAAAUAAUAUGCUAUGACAGAAAUAUUAUUAUUUAGUAUGCUUAGGACUUAUUACUCAUCCUGGAUACUCAUCGCUAUAUUUUAUCAAAUAUAAUGAUUUUAAAAGUAAAAGGUGUGAGUGGUGAAAAUAAAUUUUGGGUAUUGUGAAAGGGUUAAUGAACAAGUUAUAGAUGUGAUUACUAUGGAGAUGGGGCGGAUGAGAUCUCUGUUGGGGAUGCCCUGGUGUUGUGGCUUAUACCUUGCGGGGUUAAGCGUGAAGAUAUCCGCCUUGUCUCGAUUAAGGACUGAGUUGAUGAUUCAUCUUGCCUAACUCAUUUAUCGUACAACCACUCGCCUUGCAUGGGAAAGGCUUAGUCUAAAUCCCUCUAGUUAGUAUGGCAAUCACCUGGAGGCAGGUGUGCAACGGGACACUAAGUGAUGUAUGUGAAAUUGUGGAAAUAUAUGAAAAGAGCUUUGUGAAUUAUUGUGGUAUCAUGAGAUGUGGCCUUAGUGUUCCCGUGGUGAGCGCCAUUACUUAGCUAUGGAGGGUAAUGACUUUGAUGGAUCUGUGCUUGCACGACGGUGUAAGUUAUGGUAUCCUACUUGUGGGAAAAGUGUACAACCUCUGCAGAGUGUAAAUCUAUCUGGAUAGCCGUGUCCGCGGUCUCGGACGGGUUAUGGUUUGGUUUCAACAACUAGAUGAGUUGGGAUGAGUGAAAACAUGUGAGAGAGUGUGAUUUUGGAAAUAAAUGGUUGACUGCCAUGGUGUUGUGGGAACAAGGGUUCAACAACACUUAAAAUUGUGAUUAAACCCCCAUUUUUAGAAAUACUAUCAUAUGUGGAAAAGGAGCUCUUUUACAAAAGUAUUUGUGAAAUGAAACCUUGCAUGUGUAAAAAGAUAGCUUUAUGCAAAUAAAACUAAGCCUCAUCCUUGAUUUAACCAUAUGCAUAUAUACUGUUAUCCCCUUCCGUAGGGUAAAGUUGGAUUUGCUGAGUACUUUGUACUCACCCUUGCUUUAUUAAACAGAGGAAGAUCCGGACUUCGAUCCCGAAGUGGCGUUCGAGUAAGGUCGUGUCUGCACCCAACUAAGCCUGUGGCAUUGGGACUCGUCAGAUGUUCGAUGGCGAUAUCGUUUGUUUCUGGGUCCUUUGGACCUGUGUUGUAUUUUGGUGUCUUAUUAUUAUAGCGUGCCUUCCUUGUCCACGCUUGUCAAGACUACUGCGCUGAAACUUAUCUGAUGUAAUAAAUAUGUUACUAGCCUCCUAGGACUAGUAUUGUAUCACAUUUGAGUUACUGGUUUACCAGGGGCGCUUCACCAUGCACAUCUAGAGCCUUUGCAAACGCGGCUUACACACAUCGUUUUCUUACCGAUCAACAGACGCAAAUAUAUCUGAAUCGGCAAACACAAGUCUCACACGUCACAUACACUUGGGAACGCGCAGAAAAUACCGAACGCAUGACACGCUUUUUCCAUCCACAAAACAAAGGCAUGGAUGGAGUCGAAAGCUCCCAACUUCCAACCAAGAAAAUUAGGUCACAAAACUCACAACCGAAGGUUAGAAUGUUACACUGGCCGCAAAUGCAAUCACGCCAAGCCGUGUUUUGUACCGAAGCGUCACGUCCCAAGCGGCGAGCGCCUCGAACCCGUCCCGUCGUGCCCGGCCGGUCAAGGUCAAUCCACCGUGCCAGCGCCCCAAUCGACAACGCGGAAGCGAAGCGGCGAGGAAGGCUCCCGCUGCCCUGCGGCGCCCGCAGAGAAUCCACCCCUGCUUCCAACGAAAAAACGAUACGAUUGCUUCGCUCGGCAAAAAGGUCUCCUCCUCCUUCCUCCCCCCCUGUUCGGUUCCCCUUGGCGGCAGGCGGCGGCGGCAGCGCUCGCUCUCCCGCGUGAGGAGAGCCCGAGUCUUUCCAUAUUCCAAUCCACCCCAAGCGACAAAAAGGAGGCGCUCCUCCAUAGGUGGAGGUUGGCAGGUACUUUGGUGGCGCGCCUGUCUCACACGGAUUUGGUUGGAUUCGAAUCAAGCCGGGAGACACAGGUUUCGUGCCGCGCGCGCGGGAGGCGGAGAUGCACAAGAGCAAGGGGAAGCUCUCCGGCGUCCUGCACAAGGGCUUCAAGCCCGACAAGUGGUCAGUGGAGAUCGAUUUCUGCUGCUCCUGGGGUGCCGGAGGAUGGACAACCUAACGUCUGCUGCUGUGUUUUUUUUUCCCCUACGAAUGAUUUCCCAGCAAGACGUCGCUGCGGAUGGCGGUGGCGCGGAUCAAGCUGCUGCGGAAUCGCAAGGAGGUGCAGGUACGCCAGAUGCGCCGCGAGGUCGCGCAGCUGCUCGAGGCCAACCAGGACAUGACCGCGCGCAUCAGGGUACGUGCCUGCCUUUCCCCCCGUCGCUUGGCUCCCUCCCCGAUGGUGUUCAUUUCAUUCGCCAUUUCAUUUCACCGCGCCCCGCCCAUUGGUUGUAGUUGACUCGAUGCGCCUCCCAGGCUUCCACUCGUGAUAGCACAGUUGACCUCAUGUAUUGUAGAGUUCAAAUAACGCGUGUGUCGCGUGGACUUGACUUCUGAAGUUGUAGCGUUCUAGCCUCGAGCUGAGUACAACUUAGUUGCCUGUUGCAGCUGAGUACAACUUAGUUCGCCGUUGCAGCCUAGGUGUUUGGUUAUAUGUGUGCAAAUGGUCAAAUUGGCUGCAAUUUGGGAGGAAUGUGCGUGCUCUGACUUCUAGAUAGGCCGUGGUUUGUGAUUGUUGGACAUGUAGCCAUCUUGCUACAUUGUGAACUGCAAUGACUUUUGACAAUUGGACUUGUUUGAUACUCCCUCCGUCUCAUUCCAACUUAGAUGGAGAGUCAAAGCAUCUAAGUUUGACCAAAUUUAUAUAAAUAAAAUAAUGACGUUUAUGAUGUCAAAUAAGUAUCAUGGGAUUCUUCAUUAAUUAUAUUUUCGUAGUAUACCUAUUUGAUGUUAGGUCAAACUUUAGAUGUUUUGACUCUCUAAGAAAGUUGGAAUGAUUAGUUUGAGAUGGAGGGAGUAACAUUUAAGUGUUGGUUAUAUUCCAUGUUAUGCUUUCCUUGAGCAUGCUGGCACAUACGCUGGAGCCUGAGUUUGUCCACUGGUGGUUUUUGUGCGGGAGAGAGCUUAUGCAUCUGAAUAUCGAGUUUUUUGUGUUGCUGUGUUCAAUGCUGACAUUCCAUGGGGCAUUGGAUUCUUGCAGAUAUAAGUGUGUGAUUUUCUUUCCUGGUCGAUGUAGAACCAAUAUCAGCUGAUCUGAUUAUACUUGUCCCAUCUUUACUCUGGCAUGCUUGUGUCUGCAAACGUAUGUGCAAAAUUAUUUAUAAGUGUACACAACUUUCUUCUGGUACUGCUGUCCUGGUAUCUGUUAGGUUCAACUUACAAGCCAUAGAACAUCACUAGUUUGUUUUGAGUUAGAAUGAAAUGUGCGCAGACAACAGUUGUAACGUGUCUUGAUAGUACUAUGUCAGCACGGAGCUCAUUAUUUCUUACUGGCUCUGUUUUAUCUCUCCCACAGGUUGAACAUGUCAUAAGGGAGGAGAAGUUCAUGCAAGCAUAUGACUUGAUUGAAGUAUACUGUGAACUUAUAGUAGCACGUCUGUCCAUUAUUGACUCACAGAAGUAAGGCAACCUUUUCUUUCUAUUAUGCAAACCUAUAUUUGCUGUUCCGUGAUUUUAGUUGUAUAAUGUUGUUUCUUGAUCUGAGGUUAUAAAAGCAUACUACAUUAGAUGGUAAUGUAACUUCCAUUUUAUUCUGGAAUGAUUUCAUUAGUUCAUUAGACUUAUUUAUUUUCCUUAUGACAAUUUUCCUAGCAGCACAUCAUUAUGUAGGAUGUUUUUUUCUGCACAACUAAAUAUGUUCUGAUGUGUUUUAUUUUACCUGAAAUUUAGGACUUGCCCAAUUGAUCUGAAGGAGGCAGUAGCCAGUGUUGUAUUUGCAUCAAUGCGGUGUUCGGAUGUCACAGAACUAGCAGAUGUUCGGAAGCAUUUCAAAAGCAAGUAUGGAAAAGAGUUUGAAGCAGCAGCUCUUGAAGUGCGACCUGACAGUGGCGUAAAUCGUCUGGUAAUCUAGAGUGCUUUUAGAAGUUUAAAUAAAUUUUAUUAUGAAACAGGUUGCUUGUUGCUUUUGGCUACAAAAGGAACACAUUUUGCUGCUUUUGGUCUUAACAGUAAAUACAAUUAUGCUUGAUACAGGUAAUUGAGAAGCUGUCAGCAGGAGCACCUGAUAUACAGACCAAAAUCAAAACCUUGAGCUCGAUAGCAGAGGAGCACAACAUUAAAUGGGAGCCAAAAGCAUUUGAGGAGAAACUGCAACAGCCAAAUGAAAAUCCUCUGGUAAGUAAAUGAUUUAGAGUGGUUUCACUUUUCUGCCCUUAGUUGGACAUUGUGGCCCUAAUGGUUCAUUAUAUUAUUCGUUAGUAUGGUUCUGCAACAUAUUCUGGAGGAAACAUUUCAACUAUGGGAUCAUCUACUUCUAGCAUGUCAACACCACAGCCUACAUAUUCAGGUGUAAGUGCAGCAGCUGUGGACUCAGCCACUUCCCAUGUGUCAAUGGGACCUUCGCCUGUACAUGUGCCAGCAAAUAGAACAACAUAUGGCAAUGCCAGUUCUAAUACUUUUUCGAAAGAAAACAUCCAUAAUAGCUCCAGUGCUUCAGUACCUCCUAUCUCCCAACAUGGGCCAUCUGCUUACUCUUCAGCACAGACUCCUGGAUCUAACAAUAUCUCACAUGGAAAUCCAGGAGGUCCACCUUACCCUCAAUACAGCGCAACAGCCCCAGGUACAGAAGGAUUUCAUUGUUUGAAUGUCUGCCAGUUUUCACUGCCCUAUUAUGUUCAUAUUCCCAUUGAAAUCUUUGAUUUCCCCUUUCAGACACAGCAUCCAGGAAUGGAGAGAUCCGUCAGCAUAGGGAAAGAAAACCUUCGGUGACUGGUGCCAAUUGGAAUGUGGAAUUCAAGGAUGCAACAUCUGCUGCACAGGCAGCAGCAGAGUCCGCAGAGAUGGCUAGCAUUGCUGCUAGAGCUGCUGCUGAACUUGCUAGUCGUGGAAACUAUUCUGGAGAUAAAGGCACUGGAGCAUAUGAUUCAGCCGCAUACAGUAGCGAAAACACACCAAGGAAGCAACAAGCUGAACACAUAGUGAAGGAUGAGAAGAGUUUCCAUAACCAGAGUUCAGGUGUUAAUGAUCCAAGGGUGAUGCCAAGUAACUCAAGAAAAAGUUUUGGAGGAACAGAAACUACCCGUGUUGAUAGUCAGAAUAUAUCAACAGAUAAGGCCCCAUAUCAACAGUUCGGCUCCUACAGUCCAGAAAACCAUCCAUAUGUUUAUGAAAUGCCAACUGAACCACCUCAUGCCCAUUCUCCUGACCCACGUUUUGAUGAUUUAUAUGAGAGAGAAAGUGACAUUGGAAGAUCUGAAGUUCAUCCAUUUGAUUUUCCUGAAGAAAACUUGCAAGAUACUGGGCCUGUUGGGCGCAAUUUCAAGGAUGUGGAGAUCAGGAGACCUAGCUCUGAUCACGAGAGCACAGAUGACUACUAUGGUAACUUUAAUUCUUCACAUGAUACAUUUGCCCAUGGCAGCAGCAGCACUGCUUGGGACAAGCAGAAUGACAAAGCUCAAGGCAAUUCUUCACCCGUUGUUUUUGAUCAAUAUGAUUCUGAUGUUGAAGAAGAGAAUUUAUUGGACACAUUCUCCUCAAAGCACACUGAACAACUACCUGAUCCCAGAGAUCAUAUGGGAUUCUCAACUGCAGAUUGGAGUGAACAGCAUAGAAGUGAAUCUCCAUCCAACCAGAAAACGUCGGCCCUAUUUUCCAGAAGAGAAACACAACUAUCUGAUAAUCUAGGAACAAACAGAAGUGAUAUUCCUUCACCUCAUUCUUAUGAUAACUUGCAUCCCGCUUUUGAUUCAGAUGGUGGUAACUCUGAUGAGGAAAUAGCCACAACCAUGCAUGCAGUGUCUUUAAGGUCCCAUUCAGGAAGGUCCCAUCCAGGAGGCUCUGUUUCAUCUGGCCUGAACAAAGGUGGUGGACCUGAUGGUUCACUAUAUGAUUAUUCAGGAGCACAGGCAGUGAGGAACUUGAACCGUGUGCAAAGCAGAGAUUCCGAUCUUUCGGAAGAAGAGACAGAUUUAGAUAAAUUUAAAGGUUCAUCCUCAGCUGGAGCAAAUGAGCAGCAGUCGUUGCCUUUUGCCAUUAGUACUUCAGCAGCUUCUGAUGAUAAGGAAGGUGACAUCGGCCUUAACUUUGGUAGGUUAACGCCUGGACUAAGAAACAAAACCAGGCAACCCCCACCAUACACCAAAGUUUCCAGGGAGAGCAUUCUGCCUAAGCAGUCCUUGCCUACGGUUUCUUCCAGCACUGAAGAGUCAGUUGAUUCUGAAGAGAAUACUUCAUUCAAACAGAAUAUAAGUAGCCCCAAAAGCUCGUUUUCAGCCAGGACUAAUUCAGGUAAAAACCACGACAGUGAACUUUAUGAAAGGAAUCAAAAUGCUGGAACACACUGGGAAGCAAGAUCAACCAUAGCAAGAAAUUCCUUUGGUUUAGCUGACACUGAGAAGUUAUCUGAGCUACCUAGUAAUAUAAGUCUUCCAACAACUAAGAGUUCUGAACGUGCGAAUUCGAGUCAAGUGCUUUAUCAUGAAAAGCCAGGUAUUGGAGCACGCCGAGGACUGAGAUCAACAAUGGCUAGAAAUUAUUUCGAUACAGAUGACAGUGAAGAAGAACUAGAGCAACAACAGACUCCUCAGUCGAAGCGGUCUGGAGUGCUGAUACAAUCACGCAGGACACGGGAGGUAACAUCAGACACAAAGAGAGAGAGUCGUAUCCAAAUUGGAGCUCAAUAUGAUGAUGAAACUGAGAGCAUGCCAAGUAAGACACAAGUCCAUCAAGGAUUCAAUAGCUCAAGUACUGAACAAAGGACUGAAAUGAGGGAUGCAAGCGUGUACCCCAGGGUUGCAGUACAGCGCUCUUCGCCUAAAGCUCAGCAGAUUGAAUCUCCGGUGGCUAGACGGAAGCCACAAGAAGCUGAAAUGAGAAGAAACUUUGUUGGAGGAAACGAGGGGGACGCAGAAACCUCAGCUGGAACUCCAAAAGAGAGCACCCCGAAAACACCCCCUGCACAUGUUCAUCCCAAGCUUCCAACAGACUAUGAUUCUUUUGCCGCACAUUUUAGGUCUCUUCGAACAAACCGGCCUUAGGUUUACACGACAUGUAUAGAGCUUGGAGUUUCAGUUGAAUUAAGUCAUACAUACGAUAGACAAUGAUACGUUUUAUAGUGGUUGAGUUGAGAUCUGUACAGUAUAGCAACACAGAAUGUUUUCUGGAUACCAUGGUGCUGUGCUAGUUUGAGCCUACAAUUCUUUUGUUCUCUUGUACCCUUAAUAUAUUCAAUAGAAUCAUAUUGUAAAGACUUAAAUUUCCUGCUAGUGAUUGUUAAUAAGCACGGCAUGUUGCCGUAUGUAUACAACUUCCGGGGUUCUUUCAUUUCAUUCCAUUGUAACUGGAUCUGGUACACUUAUGCUAUGCAUGAAUUUUGUAAGAGAUUGAUCCAUAAAUUCUGCAGCCUCGUCUGUAGUCUAUUCAUGUGAAGCGAGGUCUGUAGUCUUUCCAUGUGAAGCGAGGUGGCACAAUCUUUGCAUCAAGGGUUGUAAAUUUUCCUUGGUAGUUUAUUGUGAGAAAUGUGGCUUAAAAUUUCAGUUGUCCUGAUGUUAACCUUCUUGUGAACUUAAUGCAAGUGGUGAGUAAUUGUUAUCGGUAAGCAAUUUGGCAACACAGGAAGCAGUACCGGAUGAUUUGCGUCCUCUGGAGAUCAUUUGGCAACACAGGAAGCAGUACCGCAUGAUUUGUGUCCCCUGGAGAUCUAACCGUUAUACAAGUGACGCAAAUUCACACAAAACAAUCUAACGAAAAUUUAAAAGAAAUGUCAGUGACAUCAAAAUAAGAACGAGUAACGCAAAUUCACACAAAAUAAUCUAAAUAAAAAUUUAAAAAUAUGAACGAAAGGAAAUAGUCGAGGGAGGGGGCGCAAAAAAAAAAGAAAAAAAAAGGUCUUCUACAAGGUGCAGAUCAAGCUGGAGAGGUCCACCAAAACAAAGCAACUCGGCCCACUCUCCGCCCUAGGCCUUGUUUAGUUCCGAAAACAUUUCGGAUUUUGGUACUGUAGCACUUUCGUUUGUUUGUGACAAAUAUUAUCCAAUUAUGGACUAACUAGGAUCAAAAGAUUCGUCUCGCGAUUUCCAGCUAAACUGUGUAAUUAGUUUUUGCUUUCGUUUAUAUUUAAUGCUUCAUGCAUGUGCCGCAAGAUUCGAUGUGACGGGGAAUCUUGAAAACUUUUUGCUUUUUGGGGUGAACUAAACAAGGCCCUAGGGUUUAUGAGCACCGGUACACACUAGUAUAUAAAGUGAGCUUCUAAAGCUCGCGCCGCCGCAUCGAUAUCACCUUCUAGGCUUCUACCAGCAGCCGAGCACCGGAAAGCGGAAAGAAGCAAAAUUAGCGGUGUGUCACUGCCAUCUACGGUGGUGUGUCGCUCCAAUCUACGGUGAGAAGAGAUCUUCCCUUCUCGUGUCAACUUUCUUACAUGAACUGGUCUCUGUUAAUGGCUUCUUUAGUGCGCGUAAAUGGAUCUAUUUUUGAACUUCACAUCUCCUAUAUUUCAUCGCCUGAAAUGUUGGAGGGCCUCCCUUUGAACACCACUAGUGCUCGAUUUGCCCCCAGUGUCAUUUGUUACCUGUGCCUUCUUCGCCUCAGUGCUAUAAAUUGUGGGGUUUGUUGAACAUAGCAUUUGUUACUCGUAGGCCUGUUUGGUACAGCUCACAAGUUGAAAUUGUUUUUUUUUGCCAAACAUUUAUUUCCAAAACAGCAACAGCUUCAUGAGUGAAGCUGUUUUUCUCCUCCUCUCACAAAGACAUAAGUUGGAUGAAGCUAGAAAAAAAAUAGCUUAUUGCAGCUUCUCCCUCAUUUCUCUCUCUCAACUAUGCAUAAAGCUAUUUUGCCAAACACUUUCUCCAAAACAGCUCAGCUUCAUCUAGAAAGUCACUCAUGAAGCUAUUUUCUAAAAAAACAGUUUUACUAGUGAAGUUGAGCUGUGCCAAACAAGCCCUAAAUAUGUAAUUCUGUACAAGUUAGUUUGUGGAACAGACAUCUUCUGGAUAUUAUGCUCAUAUGCUGUGCAUUCUAUGUUCUGAUCUUUUUUUAGUCUGAUAGAUCUAUCCUGUAUCGAAAUUGCUAAUGAGGUAGUGAUUCCGAUGUUUAUCAGUUAGUUUUCCCUGUUUAGCCGAUAUAUCAUUUUUUGUGUUGGAUUCCUGGAUUAUAGGUAAGCAUAAAUGGCAACAGUUCCGGAUUCCCUGGUCUGGCAGAUCGUGAGGAAGAAUAACUCCUUCCUGAUCAAACAGUUUGGCAAUGGCAAUGCGAAGGUUCAGUUCAGCAAGGAGCCCAACAAUCUCUACAAUGUUCACUCCUACAAGCACUCUGGUUAGUGUUUGUUUACCAGCCUGUUCAUUUGACAUUUUUAUGCCAUCGGUGGCACUGAUUGGUUACUUUUCAGGCCUUGCCAACAAGAAGACCGUGACAGUGCAGCCAGCCAGUGGCAAGGAGGCUGCGGUGGUCCUCUCGACAACCAAAACAAAGAAGCAAAACAAGCCUGCCAGCCUCCACCACAAGUCUGUCAUGCGCAAGGAGUUCCGCAAGAUGGCCAAGGCUGUCAAGAACCAGGUAUAGAGCAACCCCAUCCCAUGUUCAAUCUUUUAUGUAAUUUGUGUCCCCUCCAAUGUGGUUCUCGUUGAAAACGAUCUGGUUAGAACUUUGUACCCCUCAAAUGUAGAUGAUUUUAUUUUAUAAAUAUCUGUAGGUAACUAGUUAUAAAAUUGCUGUGAUGAGCCUUAAUCUUAAGAUACAUUGGCCUGUCUGCACUUAGCUUCUGAAUGUGAAUAGAGUUUGUUUUUUUAUUAUAACAUAGUCUUCUUGACAUGGUCAUCAUACCUUUAAUUUAUUGUUCUUGUUUCACAUUUCUAGCUGUAUUAACGGUAUUUUAUAAAAACUGUGGAUGGUUAGUAGCACUAGCACGUGAGAAGAAUCUCUGUUUAGGGCUGGCAAUCCACGUAAAAUGACCUAUAUGCUGGUUCUUGGGCCAGAUGACUUACUGUGUGCUUGCCCUUGUGAUUCCCAUUUACAGUUGCUGUGAUGAACCUUAACAUAUAAGAAGAUUCACCAUUCAAUAUAAGGUUUCAUCUUCAAUAUGAUGUACUUGUUACGCUUGGCUUCCGAGCUCGCUGGAAGCAUUUAUUUGCACCCUUAAGUUGAAGUUCUGUGAAAAAAUUUUGCUGCUUGCUUUUAGCACUUGUAACCCUUUUCAAACGAGAGGCAUGCUGUCUGACCUGAAAUGUGGUUCUUAUUUGAGCAAGUCGGCAUCAUCAGUUUAACCGUUGUGGUUUUACUUGUUUGUACAGGUCGGUGACAACUACUACAGGCCUGAUCUUACCAAGCCAGCUCUUGCAAGGCUGAGUGCAGUGUACCGGAGCCUCCAGGUUGCCAAGUCUGGAGUCAAGAAGAAGAACAGGCAGGCAAACUAAGACAACAAUGGUCAAUGACUCAUUUUGUGCUAUCAAAAACAUUGUGGAUGGGUGGCGUUUAUACAGCUUUCAAGAUUUGGAGUAUGAGGAAAUGUGCUUAUAACCUGCUAUGGAUUUUCAUAGUUGACUCCACCUUUGUAUAAUUGUACCGGUGACAUAUUAUUGAGCCUAUGAAAAUAUUUUAUUAGUUCGUAUGGCCUUUGGUUAUUUGUGUUGCUGCCCUCUGAGGUUCUCUUGGAAACAUUAUUGUUUACAUCCUCUUGUGCUGAGUUUUGAAAAAUGUUCUGCCUUGUAAUUGGUCUAAAAAGACAUCAAAGCAACAAGCUGUACAAGUACUGCUUAAUCAUGUCACUUGGAAAAUUCGAGGUCUGUUGCUUCAAUUUGUCCCCUAUUUAUACAAGUACUGCUUAAUCAUGUGAUUUGGUGACAGCUUUGGCCGUCUUCACACCUUAGCAAAUCUCUCUUAAAUUGAAUUAGAAGCUGAUGAUGUUAUUGUUUUUUACUUUAUUAUAUUCUUUUCCUGCAAACUAUCGAGCCAUGCCAAGCAGGUUAAGGAGGCUCAGUUGUCCUGCUAGAGACUGAUCGAUCAAGAUAACAAUAAAUUAAUUUCAGACUAGCGAACUGUUCAUAUUGCGUGCACAGGAAUUUGCGAAAUCUUUUCAUUUGCUGAAAAAUCGAUGGCUUGGAAGCGACACCUUGCAGCAUCUUGGAAGGAACAAAAACCAUGGACCGAAACGCACUCUUACCAGACGUGCGGGACACUAACAUCUCGCUUGGGCUCGUACAAAACCGAGCUCCAACUCACGAUGCACCGAGAAACCGGUGGCAGCACACAUGCCGGUCGGCGAGAAGACGGCCGAGGCAACGGCCAAGGACGGCGGCAGCCAGCCGAAGCCACCGUCCCGCGGUAGCGCCCGCUUCGAGCGCCUCCUUUCCGGGCUGGGCGCUGGUCCGCUCGUGGACGUCGAGCCCGACAAGGUCAAGGACGACAUCCGGCGAUGGGCUAAGAAGGUGGCGGCGCUGGUGCGCCAGCUCAGCUUCGGCGCCUGGCCGGAGAAGAGCGACGGCUCGUCGGAGCACCGCGGCGCAGGCGAUGAUGGAUCCGCCGCCAACUGAGCAUCUAGAGCCUUGACUGCAGAUUAACUUUCGCAGGCAGUAAAGCCAGUAAUCACAACUCCGAUGAUAUGGCGGCAGCGCCGGGAUAAAGCAAGAGCAAAAUUCAUUUAUCUCCAUUCGUUCAUUCGUUUCGAAGAGCGAUUUAUAGGCUGAUAAUGCAUGUGUACUACAGUAGAUCUUACCUCAGUUCGGUCAAAAGCAAUAAAAUUUAGCAAAGGUCAUGGAUGUAAUGAUUGUAAUAAAGAGCAAUGCAGAUUCUCCUCCAGUAAAUAACAUCUGGGCUAGGGUACUCAUCGAAAUCACCCACAGGCCACAGCACAUUACAUGGUGCACCAUGUCUGAGUUUCCGUUCAACUCAACAGAUUAUUAAUGAAAGUGGGAAAAAAACACUCAGUCUUACACUUGAGGGCAUUCUCCUCUACCAAUUUACUGGUAAGAUAGGUGGCAAUAAGCUAAUAUCUACACUUCAGUUAGAUGAAUCAAGAUAUUACACCCCCUAGAUUUGUACAACUUUGUACUAUACAGAACCGCUCUACCUAAACUACAAAAUCAGCGAUAACUUUUAAACUGUACAUGAUGUUUCUCAAUCCAGUUUUCUGUCAAGUUUUGAAAUGCUCCUCAAAAGUUGUUUGGAGCAGACGGUUUGUGCCUGAGCUACAUAUCGUACACGAUUUGCUUUCACCCACGCAGGCUCCUAAUUAACAAAAAAGAAAAUCAAGAACCCACACAAGGGUGCUUCGGUUAUAAGGAAAUCAGUGCAACUGAACAGAAGAAGAAAAUACAGAAAAUCACCUCAGGCACGAAGUGUGAGAAACCAAACUUAAUUAAGAGGAGAGCGUGCUCCAUUAUGAGGAUUGCUGCUAGUCCUGGCUCAAUCCUCCACUUCCCCUCCUCAUCAUACAGACAAACGAGAAGCAAGCAGUUGGUGCAUAUUGCCAUCACAACCAAGAACUGAAAACAAACUUCAAAGUGAAUCAUGCAUAUUCCCACAACCCACAAGUAGUGAAACUAAAAAGUUCAGCUAGUAAACCUGGAAUAUGUUCAACCAUGCUCCAAUUGUAGCUGCAGCACGGGGAACAGGUCUUUUCAACAUGACUAACAACUUCAAUGCAUCUGCUCUGAUUUCAGUAACAUUGUUCUGUAGUCAAAAUAGUUCACAACAACAUUAACAGAGUUACAUCAAAGCAACAAACACAGAAACUUGUGUAUUAGUGAUUUUGUGAUAGAGAUCACAUACCACAGCUGCAAAGCAGAAAAUCAAUGGAAAUGCACAGGCAAACAUCAUGAUCAUUCCAAAUUGAAGAGUCAGCUCCAGAAAGUCUGCAAUGGAUUCAAUAUCAAUAAUAUAAACAAACGCCAUCAUUUGCUUUUCCAUUUCAAAAUGCAAAUGCUAUUGACUGAAACGCAGCACAAGUGGUAUAUAUGAACCACAUCCAAAGUGAUUAUCAAAAGAACUGCAAAGAACAUACUUACCAUCAAAUAAACCAUCUUCCAGUUCUGCUCCAAUGCUUGCAGUAUAAGAGGGUUUUAAAUACUCUUUCUCCACUCUUGUUGAUAAUCGGACUGACCUACCCAUCGGUGAUUCUUUCUCAUGUUUUUUCUUGCUACAAGAUGGGAGAGAAUUCUUGUAUUACUCUAUUGAUCUGGGAAUAAGUAUAAGGACAAGGGUUCAUGUGAAACUUACUGAACAGCUAUGUACUUUUUGUAACUGUACUUGAGGUAAGGAAUGGAAUUCUCAAUCAGAUUUUCCAAUACCUGAAAAAAAAAACAUAUCAUCAGUAGGACACUAUGGCACAAACAUAUUGGACAGUAAAACAAUUAUGUUGCAGACAUGCCUGGGACACAAUGAGACGCUGGAUGAGGACUUGCCGAAGGGCCAGUAUAUCACGAUACAAAGAAGCAUGGUAAAAUAACCCAAUAUAUGACUGCAUAAAGUAAAGGCCAAAGACCUGCAUUUGAAGAAAAGGAAAUAAGGUAAGAAGCCAAAAAUAAAGAACAAAACAUCAUCACUUCACGGUAUUUACCUUAUAAACUAAACUAGCGGAACUCGACUCUUCUCCUUGGUUGUUUUCGUACUUUAUCAAAUUGACAGACACCUUGCCACCAAUUCUGGUGUAAUAUUGAAUUGCAACAAGAUAUACUGCAGUCAACAAAUACCUGUAUGAUAUAAAAUUGAUCAGAAUAAUACAGUGCAGAUUUUAAUGACAGACAGAAAUGAAAAAACGAAGGAAACUGAUACUAAGUACUAGGGUAGAAAAACUAGCUAAGAAAGGCAGGGCACAGUUUUUAAGUAACCAAAUCAAAUUUGAUUAUAUGAAAUACUCACCUCAUAGCCUCAGUUUCCGUAAUCUCAUAUAGAUGAGCAUAGGCCAACUCAAAUGGUAGCUGAAGACAAAUGAUAGCCAGCACAAUGAUAGCAUUGUUUCUUAUUCUAAGGAGGACUCCGAACCAUUCGUUCCUUUGUAACUUACUUUUCUCAGCAGACACGUCACAAAAUUUCUUUUCCUCAACAGUAAGAGAGUCACUCAAGAAGCUGAGGUCAUUGCCCAGAUUUUUGUAUUCAGAUAGUGAACAAUUAAUACCCCAUCUGUUGGAGGGCGUCAUAAAGGCAAGGAAAGCGUUGAGGAAAUUAGCCUGAUAUUUCCAGAUCAAUAUGAGGUAUUUGCAGAUUAAUAUGAAUCACGUAUAACCUUGCAAGAAGUGCUGAAUUCUUCCGUUUCCAAAACUGCAGAAAGAAGACGGCCCAAGAAAUAACAAAGAUAAAGAAAGCAGGAAGAACCAACCACUGCAAUGACCUGAAUUCAACGUGGAGAGGAGAAAUGUAGAAGUAAGAACAUAUAGAAAAAUAUUAAUUUUGUUACUAAAUUUGCCAACAGAGGCAUUGCACGUGAAAUGCAUACCCGAAAUCUAUGAGUUGAGUUGUCAGUCCGAAAACAGCUGGGAAGAAAAGCCAUCGCGUAUACAUUCCUAGGAACGCAAAGUAUGUUGCAAUCUGCAGUUCAAAGUGGAUAUUUAAUCAAGUAGAAGGUAGAAAAAUUAUUACCUUGCUUUAGACAGAAUGGAACAUAAAUUAAAUAUAGUACGUAUAAGCUGCACUGGACACAGUUCUACCUUUGUUCCAAAGUAGGAGUAAAUCUCAUCGAUGGGUUGCCAUGUGAAUUCAAGCCAGUUAAGAGCCCAGUUUCUCAGGAGUUGCUUCCUUUUAAUUUCAUCUGCAACGGAAGUUUUAGCUGGCAUACAAUAAUAGUUUGAAAAUAUGAACAUAAAUAGAAUUAAGAUUAGUGUACCAUGCAAAGGGAAUAUUAGCUUUACAACUCCUUCAGCUUCCAGCCUUGUCAAUAAGGACUCACUUUGCUUCCAGUGGAACUCCUUAUUAUCAAAUUUAAGAGCGAUUUCAGAGUUUGACUUGUUCACCUGCAUUAAUCAAUUCCAACUUGCUAUCAUAUUAGAUAUAUCCAAAUUAGAAAAGAGCCAAACACUUGGCGAAUUAGCUAAAUACUUCACUUCUCACACAUAAUAUCAAGCAAACAAACAAUGAACAGGAGUGCAUUGAUCUGACAAAGUAUAGAUCAGCACAGAAUCAUGUCAUUUGUAGUCUUAUAAUGCAGACCAGAGAAGCAAGCAUUAAAAAUGCAUCCAUAGGUACAUUGUGGAACCAUAGGUGAUAAAUCAGUGGUCAUAACUACAAUGUAUUUCAAUCACAUGGAUAGCUAUAGGUGACGACAGUCGUGCACUUACAAUGCCAUAUAUCAAGUAGCGGAAGCAGCAAUAGCGUUCUCUCCAGCUGAACAGGGAACCAUCUGGCUGCCUAACGAAUGCUGCGACCUGGUCCCAUUCAAACUGAAGCUCCAUUCCUAAGACGCAAAUUAACAGCAAAAAUGAAACACAUCGCCCAUGUCCAAUCACGUUUCAAAAUUCAUAUGCCUCUUAGAUAUCCAAUUACCGAUGUAGGUUAGCUUCUUCAUCUGCAUCUCAGCAGCAGCUCUCCCCAGGGUCCCCAUUGGUGCAGAUAGCUAAAUUCAAACAUCAGGCCCGCAAGCAUUAGAAUUUAUUUAGAACUGAAAAAAUAACAAGCAGCACGCGUUGCAUAAUUUCCGAGCGAGUGAGGCAGAUACUAGAGGGCUCGCGCUCUUCUGUAUUGCCGCCGCCUCCGCUGAAACUGAAUUAAAAAAAGAAAAGAAAAGAAAAAAAAUAGCAGAGACACCGGGUCACAGACCUUGAUGAACUCAGCGGGGACGCCGCGGACGCGCUCGACGAGCAGGCCGGCGCCCUCGAGCUCUCGCACCAGCCGCGCCACGCAGUCCUCGGUGGCCCCCGCCGCGGCGGCGCGGGAGAGCUUGGGCACCACGAUGCCCACCUCGAACCCCGUGGCCUCCUCCACAGCCCCCUCCUCCCCUUCUGGCCCCAUCCCUAACUCGGGACGCCCGGAUCAGAUUCGGGCGACGACGGCGGAUGCGAGGAGGCGGAUCCGCAUGGGCGGAAAGGGGGGGAACGCGAGGAGGAUGCGGAUUCGCGGAAGAGGAGUAAACAAAAGGAAAGCGGAGCGUGCUUUGGGAAUGGCGGAGGCCCGGAGGCGGAGGGGAAAAGAGAGAGAGAGCGGAGCGAGAGAGCGGGGAGUAACGGAUUAGGAGGGCCGGUGUCCGCGGUUCAUUCGAUUUGAUUUGAUGAUUUUCUAAGAUUAAUUUAAUUAUUAUUAAUCGGCUGAUUAGUUGGCGUCGUAACUGCCUGGCUGUGAGCAGGCAGCGCUUGCUUGCGGGCGUAAUUAAGCGGCGACUUGGGGAUGCAACGUGAAACGCAGUGGGGAAAAAAUAUUCGAGGAAAUCGUGCGUGCCUUUAUUUUUUACAAAAAAAAAAUCGUGGUUUCUAUUUUUUUUUUUACAAAAAAAUCAUGCAUGCCAUUUUGUAGAGCAGGAGUAUUUUUUUAUUCAAAUCAAAGAAGAAAAAGAUUGUAGAGAAGGCAGAGGGGAUGAGGCGUGUGAUUUGAAAGCCAUGGGUACUUGGGACCAUGUGGCACACAAAAAUAUAUGAAAUGGUACGAAGGUCAAUAAAAUGUGGGCAUAUUAUGUAGAGUUGUGAGUGCGGGCGAAGGCACACCUGUUACGAUGAGUUUUUCGCAAGAGGGUGGUCGGUGGUUUUUGUUGGCCUAGGGACAAGGUGAGCUUCCAUGCGUUCGUGCGGCAGGCUGUAGGGCACAAUGGGAGCUUUCGGUUUAGCCUGACGGUUGCAUGGCAUCUGUUGCAUAUGCUACAGUCUCUAGUUAAGGAUUCUGUCCCUACAAAUCCAAGAUGAGAAACAGGCAUAGAUAAUCCCUCAAACAAAUCGAUCAAAGCAUUGGUCAUCUUUUGUAAAGCUUGAGCCUUCUCAGAAACAGACUUAGGUCCACACCGAGGGAAGGUACAUUAACAAAUCUAAUGCCUAUGUUGGUUAAUGGUGAUGAGGGCAUAUAGAUCAGGUUUUCUUUGAUUGUUGUAACGAGACUAUUUGACCUAUCAUCGUGAUUAAAGACAAAUCCUUCCAUUUUCUGGGCUUCAGUCUUUCCGCAAUGGAUAACAUGUCAAGAGUACCCUUUUGUCACAAAUAACAGCCGAUCCACAAUAUUCUUGGUGACUCUUGGACAGAUUUUUCAGUCUUGUGCAUACGCAAUAUGAUAACCAUUUUAUGUCAUGCUAUGUUAGGAAGGGGGCAUUCCCAUUGGCACACUAGGCAGCAAAAGCUUUUUCUUGGUUUUUUUUGUCCAUCUUCACGAGGAAACUUCAAGAUGGCAACGCGGACAUCCCCGCUGGGGACUAGCACCUCAUCCCUGAUACCCAUGAUUUCCCCCGCUCCCUGUAUUGGGGCUAUCUUUCUCCCGCCCCUGUCCCUGAUUGGAGUCACGGGGCCUCGACGGGUGCCACGCACCUGACUGCAAGUCAGGGGUGGCUUCGUUUUGUGUCGGUGUCACCAUGGAGAAAGCCAAAGAGCGAGGGGAAGCAGAGCCGGGGAACCAAGCCACCAAGGGAGCAGGGCUGCAGGAGAGCUGACGUUGAUGGAGGGGAGCCACUGAAAGCCCUAGUUUGGUUUUGGAUAAUUGAUGAAACCCUAGUACUAACCUCUAUGCUAAAUGUGUGUAGACUUAAUGAGGUUGGUACAUGCCAAGUGAUGGAGCAAGUGAUGAUCAGGUGAUGUUGUUGAUGACCACAAGAUGAUCAAUUUCUCAACUUGGAAAAGAAGAAAGAGAAAAACAAAACCCAAUGGAGAUCAAGGCAAAGGUAUUGCUUAGGGUUUUGGUUUUGGUGAUCAAUCACCAUAGAGGGUGUGAUCACAUUUAGGAUAGAUAGCCGUACUAUAAAGAGGGGAAUUCUUUGGCUAAGCGGUUAUCAAGUGCCACUAGGUGUCAUUGUUCAUGUGCAUGCAUUUAGAACCUAGUGAGCUAACUUAACUCCUUCAAAGAAAUUGUUUGUGAAAUUGCUAACACACGUGCACUUGUUGGUAUACACGUUGUGGUGUUGGCACACUUUGAGAAGGAGGUGGAGUUUGAAGGGAUUCGACGCUUUUGAGAAAAUGAAGUGCAUUUUUUCUAUUGCGCUGGUGGAAAUUUGGAGAAGUCGCGGGAGUGUUUUCUCUCUGAGAAACACUCACCGGACGCUGAGUGUGGAGGCACCGGACGCGGGCCUCAGAGUCCGGUGUGCUUGACCCUGCUAGGGUUGAGCACCGGACGCACUCUGAGAGCGUCCGGUGGUUAGCGUCCGGUGUGAGGGCGUUUUGCAACCCUCUCUCCGCAUGAGUCCGGUGAGCACCGGACGCUCAGGGUGCGUCCGGUGGCUUGCGUCCGGUGACCGUGCGAGUUUGCGGAGCUCUCUGCGCAUGGGUCCGGUGUGCACCGGAAGCGUCUGGUGGUAUCUUGCUCAGCGUCCGGUGCUCUGCAGGUUACCGUUAGAUUCUGACACGCGGCUGACGUUGGAGCACCGGAUGCAGGUGUUGAGCGUCCGGUGCCCCUUUAAGAGCGUCCGGUGACCCCGAGUUAGACCCAGUGAGAGAGCCAACGGCUCUAUUUGUUUGAGGGGUCUAUAAAUAGUUGUUGGCCGGCUUAGGGCUCACUCUCUUGGCAUUCUUGACUACUAGACAUCCUUGUGAGCCUAAGCAAACACCUCCCACUCAUCUCCUUCAUAGAUUAAACAUCUUUGUGAGAUUGGAAGUGAUUCCAAGUGCAUUUGCUUGAGUGAUUGCAUCUAGUGGCACUUGGGGAUCGUUCUAGCUGCGGUUUUUCUUGUUACUCUUGGUGGUUGCCGCCACCUAGACGGCUUGGAGCAGUGGAGGAGGAUUGGCACGAGUUGGUGAUUGUUCGUGGCCAUCUCCCGGUGAUUGUGAGGGGUCUUGUACCUUCCCCGGCGGAGAGCCGAAAGGUAACUCUAUUGGAUUGCUCGUGUCAUUGAGAUAUCUCACUUGUGGGUAGGUUCUUGUGGUGUCCUAGUGAGGACGAGGUUCGUGCUACACCUCUUAGCCACCGAACCACCAAGUGUUGGUCGACACAACGGGGACGUAGCGUGCCGGCAAGCACGUGAACCUCGGGAGAAAAAUUGUGUGUCUCCAUUGUGAUUGUUCAUUGGAUUUCUCCCGGUGAUUGGACUUCAUAUUAUUGAUUGGUUCAUCCCCUCUACGCGGCGGUAUAAAGUUCAAACCAUCUCUUUUACAUUCCCGCAAACUAGAGUGGCUUACUUACUUGUAUAGAACCUUUAAGUAGCUUUCUAGUGUAAGUAGUGACAUAGCUCUUGUGUGCCUAGUGAUUAUAUCAACUAGAAUUGUUGGAUAGGUGGCUUGCAAACACCACAUUAGAGCUAGAGCAAAAAGCUUCGCUUUGUUAUUUACUAACCUCUUGCUCUAGUGAGUUUGUAGAAUUUUUAAAUAGGCUAUUCACUCCCCCUCUAGCCAUAUUAGGACCUUUCAGCCACAACACCGCAAGAAGAAGCGUCGAUUCGAAUAAGCCAUAACCAUGGAGGGCGGUGCGACAGGAGUGGAGUGCAAUGGCCUGCGGCAGUGGAAGGGUAGGGGCGCAAAUUUGCGUUCCCCAUCUCUGACUCCACAUCGCGAGCGCGAGUCAGGAGGACGGCGGUCGCGAGUUUUGGAAAAGAUGGGCGAUGGCGUGAGGCAGUGUUGGGUUACCAUGUGUUUUAUUUUGGUUGGGCUGAAUAUCUAGCAUCGGGUUUCUUUGGACUUGCUAUCUGACCCAAUGGAUGACGGGGACGGGGAGUGCUGGAACGUUACUGCCCCCGCUUCCCCCAAUGGGGAUCAGUUUUGGUCCAUAAACAUCCCCGCGAGGAUCAAGAUUAGUCCAUGAACAUGCCCUAAUGGAUGAAAUCCCCAUCGAGGAUCAGGGCCCUGUUGCCAUCUUGAAGGAAACUAGAUCUUCAUAACAAAUUGCCAAAAAUUCAUAGAUUACGAGGGUUGAUGUUCGUGGUUCAUUUGAUUUGAUUUGAUUUUCAAGAUUAAUUUAAUUAAUUGGUUGAUUAGUUAGCUUCAUAUAUGCCUGCCUAUGAGCAAGCAGCGCUUGCGGGCGUAAUUAAGCGGUGACUAGGUGUGCAACUUGGAACGUAGUGGGGAAACAUUACUCAUGAAAAUUGUGUGUCCUAUUUUGUAGAGCGGGAGUUUGUGUUUCAUCAAAUGAAAGAAGAAGAAGAAGAAUGGUAGAGGAGGCGGAGGGGACGAGGCAUGUGAUUUGAGAGUCGUGGAUACUUGUAUUUGGGAAUCAUGUGGCGUUCAGAAAUAUAGGGAAGGACAUGAAGGCCAAUGAAAUGGGCACGUAUAUGUAGAACCGUGAGCGAGGGCGAAGGCACAACAAAGAAGAGUUUUCACAAGGAGUGAUUGGUGGUUUUGUCGGCAUACACACUCGUGCGCCUAUGCGGCUAGUGGUGGGGUGUAAUGGGCACUUUUCGGUUCGGCCUGUCGGUGGUAUGGUGUCCGUUUUAUUUGGCGGUAUCGAGGGCCAAGAGGGACAUGCCCCCUCGCCUCUCGCCCCGCGCUGGUCUUGCUAGUCUUGCUAUUGCAAUCUCUGUUUGUUGUUAUCGGUUGCUGCUUCAUCAUUCGGCACCAAGACUCGAGAGCCAACACUUUUUGACGUGACUUGUCUCUAUUUCGCUUCUCUUUUACAUGCACUAGUGAGCGGUUCGUUGUGCAGUGCGUCAAAAAUUUUGUUCUAUCUUCACUGGGCGGCACUACUCUUAAACUUAUCCGUCGAAUCUGCCAGUCAUUUACUAUUUUUAUUUUAUAACAAAUCUGUGAAUAGUACUAGCCAAGCAAACAGGACAACUGUCCUUUUUAAUAGCGUGUCAUCAAACACUGUAACGAAAGCGACAUGCUCCCUCUUCGGCUAAACUAAGGAACGAACACAUGUAGUAAUUAUUUGUAGCACCACUCGAACGGCCUCCUGCCGCUCUGAUGAUGGCGCGCCGGCCCGGCAUCCCCGUAGACGAAGGAGCGGUACGCCAUGAGGCCGCGCUCCUGGACCACGUCGCGGAGCGUCUCGGGCCGCAGCGCCGCGACGUAGAGGCCCAGCGCAUCGAGGUGCCAGCCGCUCCGGCCCGUGAACCCGACCACCACGCCCCCUUCCAUCGGGUACGAGAAGGGCACCCCGUCCGCGUCCGCGUCCCCGAACGGCCCGUGCACCGUGCCCCGGCUCGUCGUGAACGUCACCGACCGCACCACCAGCGGCGCCCCCCUGUGCGCCGCGCCGUAGCACCCGCUGACGCCCGUCAAGAACUCGUACGGGAAGUCCACGUCGAUCUGCACGCCAUCGAUCGCCAAUGGGAAAGUUAUUAUAAGCUAGGAUUGGCGGGCACCGGGCGGGCAGCAGGCCGCCGGCCGGUCGAUCGUUCGUCGUAUAUAUAGCUACGUACCUUCACGGAGUGGCUGCGGUCCGUCCCGCCGCCGUGCUUCUCGCCGUGGACUGGGCGGCCGUUGCCGUCGGCGUACUCCACCCUUACCGACUCCAGGGAGCGGCCGUACGUGACGGUGAUGCUCCGGACGCCCCGGUGCGGGCCGUCGUCCCACGGGCUCCCGCCGCGGCCUCCCCAUGGCCCGACCUUGAUGACCUUGGUCGACGCGACCAUCCUCCGGUGGUGACCGCCCGGUUGCUGCUGAGGAAGCGGAAAACAUACAUAUAUACAUGUUGUUUAGGAAACAUAGUUCAUAUGCUGAAUGAAGGACAGACGCAGAUGACAUUACCAUGAUUAAUAUCUUGUCAGCGGAAACUGGAGGAGGAUGUGAAAGAAGGAUUCUUGGGAGGUGAGUGUGCAGUGAGAGAGAGAUGCGUAGGCACAACGUAGUGCACUUCUACCAGCACUUAUAUAUACACUACAGGUCCAGAAGAACCACAACUGAAAUAUAUGUAGAUUAAUACGUACUAUGUGCAAGUGGUGAGGGAAUUGGAUGCCCCGAAGUAUCUGGUGUCCAGCAUAAUAAUGAUGCCUAGCGUACAUGUUAAUCACACACGAAACGACCUGAAACUAGACGUCUUCUGAUGAUGCAGAUGAAGGUAACAGCUGAAGGAGAACAUUAUGAUCCUACGUGUUACAUGAUAAACUAAUAACGAGCUAGCCUGGAUCUGGCGAAUACGAUACCGUACGUCAUACCAACCGAGCGAAUGGCUGCGGACCUGUUGGCUGUGGUGGCGUAUUAGGUUGGGGUGUGCAUCAUAUGAAUGGCGUAUAUAUACCUGUACUUUAUAUAUAGGUUCCACAUCCUUUUGCGUCUGAACAUAUGAUGGAUUGAUGGUAGCUCAUUCGUAAGCAAUAAUCAGAAAUUUUAGGUCCUCUCGUCGACGUGUCGAAUGCGCAGUGCAAGUGUGCAACCCAAUGAUGGUCCGGAUGGAGAAUUUUAACUACGUCAUCUCUUAAAAAUCCCAUGCUAAAGUCUUUUUUUUUUAUGAAACAACUGGUAGAAGAGCCAUCGACUAGAUUAUAUUAGAAGGUAGGAAAAUCUAGUAGGAAUGUAGGAUGCUGUACAAGUCUACAAAGACAAUAGGAAAGGCAAUAUAAAACGAGCCCUCACACCCUCAACGUUAAAUUUGCCAAAUGUUCAGACUUUGACAAUAUCGGAAAUUCUUCAACCCACAUGGUCGGAUUUGCAUUUGCGUAGAAAAACAGUGUAACGACCCAUCAUCCAGUAGAUAGGUUCUCUGCGUUCGUUUAACGAUGGUGACUCGCUACCAUUAUUGAUCACUUGUUUAAGGGCUAAAUUUUCCUCUUAAUGAAAAAUAGGCAUGAUGCAAGUAACGGCUAGUUGUGUUGUUCAAUCUUUGGAAGUUCCAACUAUUUUCUCGGAAGUUCCAACCUUUGACAGAUAACGACUAGUUUGUGAGUGUGGAGUGUUUAUACCCCUCCGAAUUAGGAGGGGUUGUUGUUGCCUUCCCAUGCUCAUAUCCGAAAAAAGAAGCAUCCCUCUAGCUCUCCUCACUUCCCCUUUGUGUGGAUUCAAGUGAGAUCUUGUGAGUUAAGUGGAGAGAGUUAGAAAUUAGGGGGUUUGUGAGCACAAGAAUGAGCGAUCAAAUCUUUGAUUGAGCACAUGUGUGGAUUUCAACAUUUAUUCGUGAAGCGUCUAUUAUUCUUGGAGGUGAAGCCUCCUAGAUGGCUAAGCGUCUCACGAUGAGCUUUUGUACUUGUGGUGAGCCAUAGGAAGUUUUAAACGGCUCUGAUCUCAUCUCCGCAAGGGAAGAGAUCGAGCUAAUGGAUCGAGGAAAGUGGUUGAAAGAAACCCGGCUACUGGUCGCUCACGGCUUCCUCAACAGAAACGUACGGUUGAAGUGGGAACCCAACCUCACUUAAACAAUUCCUUAUCUCCUUUGUGCUUUACUUUGGAUAUUUAUUUUUUUACUCGAUCUACUUGGUUGUCCAUGUUUAUGAGUGCAGGUGCUUCGUGGGCUUGCUAUUAGACAUCUGCAGAUUAAUAUAUUAUUUUUUGGUUUGAGCUAGAAAUCAUUAGGCAUAAUUUCACUUCGUUUAUUCCGUGGAAGUUCUGAUGGCCAAAACUUUCGAUCUCCAUCAGAAUUUCCGAAGGUUAUCUAAUCCAUUGCAUUGUUUGAGUUGUGAUUUUUUUUAGGAAAACACUUAUUCAUCCCUCUCCCUCCCCUAGGCGAUAUCUCGGUCCUUAUACUCCACUUUUUAUGAACAUGCUCUACGCUAAGAUGAUGUUGUUCAUAUAUUAGGUGAGCCACAUAGCUAGAAUUUCACAACACUUUCGACGAAAUGCAAGAUAAACUUUGAACAUCCGAUACCAUAUAUUUUGGGACUGAGGCAAUAAUAGUAGAUUGUGAUCACAAUUGUGAUAUGCCAAGCAUGCAGCAACUGAGGAACAGGACUCAGGUGUAGGUCGAGAUUCAAGAACAUAAUCACAUAUACCUCUAUCUCCUCUUAAUGAAACACGUGCCACUAAAGAUGACAACGGGUAAUUAUCCAUCGGGUUAUGGCUGUCCAUACCCUUACCCACGAGGAAAUAUUUUACCCAUAUCUAUAUACGGGUAAGAGUUUUUUCCAUACCCUUACUCAUGCGGGUAACGAGUACUCGUGGGUUAUCCUUACUCAUGGAUCUAAGAAUGUUUGCAAUAUCAAAAUUACAUGUAUCAAUAUAUUAGACUCCCAAUUUCAGCCAAAGAAUCGCAAAUCAAUAACAAAUUAAUUUACCUGUGGCGACGCGAGGAAUGGGGAUGGCGGCGUCUAGAGUCGUGGCAACUCGUUGUCGCGGUCUUCACGUGCGUGACCAUGUGAGAUGCGGCGCCGCAAGGGGGGAGGCGGGAGGGGAGGUGAAAACCUAGGAUUUUCGCUGCGUUAUAUACACGUUUACUGGGCUUGGGCUGUGUGGUGGUAGUUUUGUCCCAUGAUUUCUGGAGUAGGGUCGGGAUUAAUUUACUUAUGGGUUAACAGGUAUGGGCAGUGCAGUCCCAUACUCUUAUCCUCUUUACCCGGUGGGUAAGACUUUUGUCUCAUUUAUCCAUGAGUGAAAAAAUUAGCCAUACUUUUGCCCUAAUAGGUUUUUUACUCAUCGGAUUUCGGGUAGAAAUUGUUAUCUUUACGUGUCAUGCAUGUUCUCGGAAAAAACAUAUAUAUUCCUCUGUCCUUGCUCCUGAGUUACGGAUUGGCUCAUCCUCAGCGCCAAACUUGGGCCUUGUUUAGUUCACUCUGAAAACCAAAAAGUUUUCAAGAUUCUCCGUCACAUCGAAUCUUGUGGCACAUGCAUAAAACAUUAAAUAAAGACGAAAGCAAAAACUAAUUACACAGUUUAGCUGUAAAUCAUGAGACGAAUCUUUUGAUCCUAGUUAGUCCAUGAUUGGAUAAUAUUUCUCACAAACAAACGAAAAGUGCUACAGUACCGAAAAGUUUUUACUUUUCGGAACUAAACAAGGCCUUGGACCAUUAUUUUCCCACACCACUGGUUGUAAUCAUGCCAACCGUGGGUUAAGAAAAUUAUGUUUUCGAGUGACACUUAUGUUAUGUGUGAGCUGACACACAUAUUACAAUACUACCUAAUGCACCAGCUUCUAGUUGAAGGAACGAUUAACUGACGGUCUAACUGCUCCAUGAUUAUUAGUCACCCGAUGACCACCAUCCCAUUUGCGCUGUCAAGAGGCCGAUCCUACACUUUGCCAGGACAAUCUUCUUCGCUUGGGCCCUGUGCUCCGAUGUACAAGAUUCUUAUAUAGCUAGAGUGGUUAAGUCACUCAUUAGUUGUGCUUGAUUAGAUACACACACCUCACGGCGCAGAAGAUGUCUAAAUCUUUGUUUGUUGUUCCUAGUAUACGCACUUCCCAUUUUGUCUACGCUUAGGCCGUAGCACUAGACAUGAAACCAACGCCUUAGGAAAAAAGGAUACGGAUCGCUUGGUGUUAAUUUGGCUUCCAGUAGUUCAGCUCAAAAUGAUCUCCAUCGGUAGCAUCGGCACGCCGAGUGUUUUUUUCUGAAAGGCAACGCUGCCCUUCACCGAUCUGUCUUCUUCGUGCGCGGCCAUGGGGAUCUUGUGAAUUGUGAUCAUCAGAAGGAAAACAAUGGAAUCGAACACAAGGUUGCCCGCCGUGAGAUGCGAGGUGCACUCAUUGGGGAACGCUUUGGCGAGACCGCAUCGCAUGUGGCGCGCGCGGUCCACUCGACCUCCUUUUCGCUGUCUCCCCUGAUUUCUCAAAUCAAAAGUUCAGAUCCUCUGAACCAACCAUUGCAAAAUUAACGGGAGUGCAAAGAAGCAGAUUACCGUCGAGUUUUUCUUACCAAGUACUCCCCUAGUCACUCUUCAUCAGUACUCUAGUUCACCGCUCCUGCAUCUGAAGUCGCCCAUCGGCUUGCAGGUUCUGACGUUUGUAUUGCUGUACUGUGGCGGCAUCAAAUGCAUCAGCAAACAGCAAAACUCUGUAGAAAUGACGCGCAGUGCUUGCACACACAAACAACUCAACAGUCAUCGAUGAACACUGAACAUGCAGCUAUAGAUUUGCUAUAGGACAGGCUCGCAGGGGCCGGCCUACCAGCCAUCCAUCGAUCGUGAGCUGUCUCGGAGGAGGCAGGCAUGGCAACAGACUGGGAACGUGGUGGCUCCGGUUCCAGCCUCUGGAUUUUGUCAGCUAUAAAAAUAGCAGGCGCCGUUCAUCUCUCUAUAACACACACACACACACACACACACACACACACACACACCCCAGUACACCUGCAGCACCGCCCCAAGCCUCGGCAUCUAGCUUUCUACCGUGCACGGUACUACAAGCCGGCAACUUUUCACCGUAACGAAAUGGCAUCCAAGGUCUUCCGCGCCGUCGUCGUCGCCGCGCUCGCCGCGUCCGCCCUCGCGGGGGUCGCCAUGGCCGCCGACGAGCCCGCGCCGAGCCCCACGUCCGGUGCCGCCGCCGUCUCGUCCUCGUUCGUCGCCGCCGUCCUCUGCCCCGCCGUGGCGCUCCUCUUCGGCAGCCUGCGUCACUGAGUCCCAGCAGAACACGGCGAGUUGUCGCAUGGUCACUUACCUCCCCGACCCAUCCCUGCCUCUGCCUUGUAUUGUAUUGUAUCUACUAGCAGGUUUCUUCCUAUGCUAGCUGGCUGUCUUGUGCAUCCCAUGUAUGAUGUAUCUUUAGUUCUUUACCGACUCAGAUAUUCUAUGCCACCAGUUUCUCAGCUACAGUAAUUAUUUGAUUUGUUAUGCCCCCUGUGGAAUUAAGUGCGUACAGUUUCACUUGUUUCCUAAUCAGAGUCACGUCCCUUGCAAUCGUUAUGUAUUAGUACUACUGAUUAACUUCCCGUUGAUUUCAUUUCUCUGAAGUUGCCAUGUAAUGUUCCUUCUCUGAACUAUACUAAAAUGGUCUGAUUAGUAAAGCCAACCGAACACUUCCAUUGCUUUAGCCAAACAAAAACUGCCCGGAGUCCACUGGAGAGUACUAUGGUGGAUGCGAAGCACAAUCAAGAGUCCACUGGAGAGGGGCAAUUUAAAUAUUUGCCCCCCCUUACGGAUGGCUCCUCUUCACUUGCCUCUCUUAUAAGUGCAAUUAAAGAUUUGCUCCAGGAAUCUCUUCGGUCCUAUAGAUUUGCCCAUUUUACCUACGUGGCAGU